rnacentral:lncRNA from 1 species
AACAAUUGUCCUCAUCUUGGCUGUCCUUUCGUUGGUUUUUUUUGGAAGACACGGGGGAGAAGGUAGAGACAAAGGUUGACAGAGUAAGUGUAACGACCCGCACCCAACCAUGUAGAUAUUGUCCGCUUUGGGCCCAAGGGGGCCCUCACGGCUUUAAAACGCGUCUACUUGUUUAAGAAGAGUCUCUACAUAUAUAGCGUCAGGAACUUCCUCCCCUAUCCGAUGUGGGACAUCACAAAUACCCCCCCCCCCNNNNNNNNNNNNNNNNNNNNNNNNNNNNNNNNNNNNNNNNNNNNNNNNNNNNNNNNNNNNNNNNNNNNNNNNNNNNNNNNNNNNNNNNNNNNNNNNNNNNUUUUUUUGGAAAGACCCGGGGGGAAAGGGAGAAAAAAGGGUUAACAGAGUAAGGGUAACCCCCCCCCCCCCCCCAUGUGUUUUUUUUCCGCUUGGGGCCCAAGGGGGCCCCCCCGGUUUAAAAAGGGGUUUACUUUUUUAAAAGGGGUUCUUAAAUAUAAGGGGUCGGGAACUCCCCCCCCUUUUCGGAGGGGGGACUCCAAAAAUCCCCCCCCCCCCCCCCCCCCAUGCAGACACAACGUCCUCGUUGUGUCCCAUGGGAUUGUGGGGCCAAACAGACAAAGCCAAACAAACUCCCACACCGGGGUCAGGGAUCGGCUCUGAUACCACUCUGUCACGCCCAAGACCCACUCCAAGGGCAUGACGGUCAUUUCACACCUCAAACCCGAAGGCUUAAAGUAUAAUCUGACCCAAACAAUCAUAUUGUAACUGGAUGUUACCAAUUACCAAAUACCUGUUCAGAGUAGCAGAACAAAAUCUAAAAUCCUCAAAAUUCAAUUUCCAAAUAACUUCCAAAUAUCAAAUGAUCCAAAUGAACAUAACUAACAGUUAAACAAAAUCCAACAUAAAAUCUUAAGUCAANNNNNNNNNNNNNNNNNNNNNNNNNNNNNNNNNNNNNNNNNNNNNNNNNNNNNNNNNNNNNNNNNNNNNNNNNNNNNNNNNNNNNNNNNNNNNNNNNNNNACCCAACCAUGUAGAUAUUGUCCGCUUUGGGCCCAAGGGGGCCCUCACGGCUUUAAAACGCGUCUACUUGUUUAAGAAGAGUCUCUACAUAUAUAGCGUCAGGAACUUCCUCCCCUAUCCGAUGUGGGACAUCACAAAUACCCCCCCCCCCCCCCCCCCAUGCAGACACAACGUCCUCGUUGUGUCCCAUGGGAUUGUGGGGCCAAACAGACAAAGCCAAACAAACUCCCACACCGGGGUCAGGGAUCGGCUCUGAUACCACUCUGUCACGCCCAAGACCCACUCCAAGGGCAUGACGGUCAUUUCACACCUCAAACCCGAAGGCUUAAAGUAUAAUCUGACCCAAACAAUCAUAUUGUAACUGGAUGUUACCAAUUACCAAAUACCUGUUCAGAGUAGCAGAACAAAAUCUAAAAUCCUCAAAAUUCAAUUUCCAAAUAACUUCCAAAUAUCAAAUGAUCCAAAUGAACAUAACUAACAGUUAAACAAAAUCCAACAUAAAAUCUUAAGUCAAAUCCUAAUGAUGACCAUUCCUCAGCCUAGCCAUCACUCCUCACCCGAACUAAGAGUACCUGAAGAAUUUUCAACAAUUGGGAAUGAGCUCACAGCCUAAUAAGGAAUAUUAAUGCAGUUCAUGAAUCAAAUAUUUUCAUUUUAAAUAGGAGAUAUCAUUUUUUUUUUUUCAUCAAAUAUUAGAGUUUCAAAAAUACCAAUAUAUUCAAAAUUCAACCAACCAUUUUCAUAUCAAAUUCAAACACUUUCACAUAAGAUUCAAUCAAAUCCAUUCAAUUUUCAUUACUCUGGUUAUCAAAUAUCAAAUGCCCAAUUAGGUGGGACUUUUCAAAUGGGUGGCUAGCUUCAAAUUGUUCCUGGUGGACGGAACUAAACACUACUAGUACUAGUAACCUCUAACCAAACCCCUAGAGGCUGGGGUCCAAAUCAAUUACAUUCCCACCAUGAAAUGUAAAGGUCAACUAUUAUAUCCCGUUGACAGGGCCGAAUAGUCAACUAUUAUAUCCCGUUGACAAGGGCCAAAUAAACCAGAGUGAUGGUUUUGUUCAAGUAUUCAAAUUUACACAACAUAAUAUCUCCAUAUUUUGUGUCAUAAAUGAAACAAAAUAUUCCAACAUAACAUUUAGUGCAAAACAAUUUGAUCCAUGCAUGAUAACAAAAUAUCAUUUUCUUUUCCACAAUUCAAAAUAACGUAUAAAAUAAUUUAAUUUUAUAAAUAUUACAUUAACUUCCUUUACCUUAAAAGAAAUCCUCCAAAAACUUUGGAGAAAAAUAAUCCUGAAAAUCUACUCUUCACCUAACAAAACAUAAGAGAAACAAUUAUUACUAUUUAUUUAUAAUUUAACUAAUCUAUUCCUUAUUUAAAUAAACUAAUAAAUUCCCAAUUUAUUUCUAAUAACACAUUACUAAUUUAAUUAAAUUAUAAUUUUAUUUCAUUAUAAAAUUCUAUAUAUAUAUAUAUAUAUAUAUAUAUAUAUUUUGCUAAAUCUAUUAUUACUAUUAUCUUAAUUAUAAAUCUAAAACUAAAUAUUAUUAUUUUAAUUAACCAAUUCCAAAGCCACUCAACCUAUCUCGGGUACACCAAACCAAAAAGCAAGUUUUUUUUUUUUUUUCAUUGCCAUCAUGAUCCAUUAUAUAUAUAUAUAUAUAAAAGGGCUUCCUGGCGCACGCCUUUUUUUUUUUGUUCCAUGCUUCCAAUAACACAGUACACGUAUGCCCUUUUUUGUUUUUUUUUUUUUUUUAAUAAAAUUAACCCUAACCUAAAAUCGAAACCUUCCAAGAAAAUUUUUUUUUUCAUCUAAUAAAACUUAAGAUCUCCCAAAUUCAAAUACUAAAAUCAAAAUAUUAAAUUUUCACUAUUUGAUAUUAAAACGAAUUAAAAAAAAAUAAUCUAACCCUAAUCUAAAUUUGGGGUUUUCCAAAAAAAAAAUAUCUAAUAUGCUUGAAAUUAACUAAUGACUCUAAAAUAAUAAUCUAGGGGUUAGAAACUUACCUAUAGAGGUUUGUUCUUCAAACCUUAAAAUCUGACCUCAACUUCACGUUCUCUGGAAACUCUCUGCGAACAGGAAUACAAUUCAAAAAAGAACAGGAAGAAGAGAAUUUUCUAUUUAUACCUAGGGUAUUAAUCGUAAGGAGUGUUUGUCUGUUUGACCCCGCAAUCUCAUGGGACACAACGAGGACGUUGUGUCUGCAUGGGGGGUAUUUGUGAUGUCCCACAUCGGAUAGGGGAGGAAGUUCCUGACGCUAUAUAUGUAGAGACUCUUCUUAACCAAGUAGACGCGUUUUAAAGCCGUGAGGGCCCCCUUAGGCCCAAAGCGGACAAUAUCUACAUGGUUGGGUACGGGUCGUUACAAAUGGUAUCAGAGCUGAUCCCCAACCCCGGUGUGGGGGUUUGUUUGGCUUUGUCUGUUUGGCCCCGCAAUCCCAUGGGACAUAACGAGGACGUUGUGUCUCCAUGGGGCGGGGCGGGGGGGGGGGGGGGGGGGGGGGGGGUUUUUUUAUUCCCCCCCCCGAAAGGGGGGAAAGUUUUGGGGGGUUUUUUUUUUAAAACCCCCCUUUACCAAAAAAAACCCUUUUUAAACGGGGGGGGGCCCCUUGGGCCCAAAAGGAAAAAAAAUUAAAUGGGGGGGGGGGGGGGGUUUCCAAAAGGGGGGGAAAAAAGGACCCCAAAAAGGGGGGGAAAAGGGGGCUUUUUUUUGGAAAAAUUUUCCCCGGGUUUUUUUUUUUCCCCCCCCUUUUUAAAAAAUUUUUCCCCCCCUUUUUUUUUUUUUUUUUUUUUUUUUUAAAAAAAAAUUUUUUGGGGCUAACCGUUUUUUUUUUUUUGGUGCGGGGGAAAAAAAAAAAAAAAAAAAAAAAAAAAUUUUGUAUUUUUUGGGGGGGGGGGCCCCCCCUCAAAAGGGGGUUCUUUAAAAAAAUACCCCCCCCGGGGGCCCCUUUUUUGGGGGUUUUUUUNNNNNNNNNNNNNNNNNNNNNNNNNNNNNNNNNNNNNNNNNNNNNNNNNNNNNNNNNNNNNNNNNNNNNNNNNNNNNNNNNNNNNNNNNNNNNNNNNNNNAAAAAAAUAAAUCUACCCGUAAUCUAAAUGAGGGGGUUUCCCCAAAAAAAAAAUAUUUAUUAUGCGGGAAAAUUAAAUAAAGACUCUAAAAUAAUAAAUCUAGGGGUUAGAAAUUUACUUAUAGAGGUUUGUUUUUCAAAACAUUAAAAUAAGACCUCAAUUUCACUUUUUCUGGAAACUCUCUGCGAACAGGAAUACAAUUCAAAAAAGAACAGGAAGAAGAGAAUUUUCUAUUUAUACAUAGGGUAUUAAUCGUAAGGAGUGUUUUUCUGUUUGACCCCGCAAUCUCAUGGGACACAACGAGGACGGGGGGGGGGGGGGGGGGGUGUUUGUGAUAUCCCACAUCGGAUAGGGGAGCAAGUUCCUGGCGCUAUAUAUGUAGAGACUCCUCUUAACCAAGUAGACGCGUUUUAAAGCCGUGAGGGCCCCCUUGGGCCCAAAGCGGACAAUAUCUACAUGGUUGGGUGCGGGUCGUUACAGUAAGGGGGAGAAACAAGGAACCAGAGGAAGGAAGCAGAAGGCUAGCUUAUUCGGUAUACAUUUCCUCUGGUUCUUUUGUUCUCUCCCUCUGUUUAAUAUAAUUCUUACCUCAAUUUAAUUUAAUUCUUAUUGAUUUCUAUAAAUAUAUAUUUUAGGUCUAUACAGUUUCAUUUUUAUUGGUUCAUGUAAAUAUAUAUAUAUAUAUAUAUAUAUAUAUUGUAUAUUUUGUUGAGGUUGCCUGCCCUUCAUAUGAGGGUUCCGUUAACAAUUAUCCGCGUCCUGGACGUCCUUUGGUUGGUGUUUUUUUGGGAGACCGGGGCGGACCAGGAACGGAGAAAGAUUUACACAGUAAGAGAUAGAAACAGGAAAUCGGAGAAAGAAAGCAAUAGAGUAGGUUCAGUGCACAUUUUAUUUCUCUCAUCUAUCUCAUCUAAUUCUUAUUGAUUUCUAUAAACAUAUUUUUUUUAUAUAUAUUUUUAUUAGGUUUGUAUAGUUUCAAUUUGUUAGGUCUUGCUAGUUUUUGGUGAAGGAUAGCUUGCUCGAAGCCGCUUCAAGCAGUACUACUUGGGGGAACCUUUCCAGGUAUGGCGGCUGUACGCUUCUUUUUAUUUUUUAUGAAUUUGCUCCAUUUUAUGCCGAUUUUCUGGGUAUUUAAUUGAUGACUGAUGUGGAAAUUAAGUUUUAAAUGGUUGUUUUUACUGAAUCUGAAUUUGUUUUCAUACUUAACUCUGUUUUGGUUUUCUACUAAUACCUUUUAUUUUCCUCUAAAUACCUAACGUAUGGACUGUUCUUGGUUGGAUACUUGCUAAUCAUGCCACUGCUCUCUGCUUGUCCCACUUACGUUCAAGCACUUGGAUAACACAAUGAAAUGUGGCUUCCUCUAACUGUUUGUCUGUACCACUUUUGUGUUUUACUUUCUUCAUAUCAGAAGAUUAAAAUGAUUUUUGUGCCUUUUCUAUGAUAAAUGAAAAAUAAUUAUUCCCCUUUUUACCCCUAUUUGAUUCAGCGGAUGGUUUGUUUCACGUUCUAUUUUCCAGGGGACCUAAUAAGUUUGAAACUGUUUAUAAUGUUUUGUUUUUCGUAUUUUAGUAUCAACACACCCAACUCUCAUAUAAGGCGUUGCAAUUGAUAGAAUCAAAGGCUGGACAUGGAUCAAAUUGCUGGCCCAAGCAGUAGACGAGGUAUGAAAAGUGUUUGAAAAGUCUGUUUAAAAUUGUCAAGUUGGAAAUAUUUAGUUACCAAGAUAUGAUUAUGAGUUAUUAAAUGGCAAAAUGAAUAAAAAUUCGUAAUUUUGAGGUUUUUCUUUGAUACACUUAACCAUGUAACCUAUAUUUAUGAAAAUCAAAUAAAAUUGUUUGGAAUCUAUUAAACAUUAUGAUUAAAUAUAUUAUAGCUUUGUAUAAUAUAGAUCAACCCAGUUACUCACCAUGUAGCUUAUUAGGGUUUUUAUUUUAUUUAUUUAUUUAUUUAUUGUUAAUUUGAAUUAAAUUAAACUGCCAAAUGCAAUAUAAUUUAAGAUAUUUGUAAGCUCUAUUUGAUAGUAUUAGAGGUUUAUGUAACAUAUUUGUUAACUAAACUACCAAAUGAGGGAUAUUAUUAAUUAUUGCAUUAGGUUAUCUAAUUUAAACUGAUUAUUUUCUCAUGGUCUUGUAGGUUUAGGACAUUUUUAGAUUAUUAUGUCUUACUCUUUAUUUAAUAUUUAAAGGUGUUGCAUAAUUAAUCAAGAUGAGAGAGACAAGUCUUACUCUGUCCAAGAAGAAUUAAUUAGGAUCUAUCUUAUCGUUAAAUGGAUGUUAGGCUUUAAGCAAGAGGGGUGUUAGUAUUGAUUUUAAAGUACUCGUGAGUGAGUCGACGUUUUAGCAUUACCCCAUGCUCAAAGUAGAAUUCUAUGGAAUUCUAAAAUGUUUCUUUUUUAAGAGUUUUUUCUUUCUGGAAAAUCUUAGAUUUUCUUUUUAUAGGUAAAAAGAAAAUCUAAAAUUUAGAGGGUCAUCAGAAUGCACACGAAGCAUAUAAAAAACAUUUUUCGGUUAAGUCAAGGGGAAACAACAAAUACAAUUUGCCCUCGGCCUAAGCCUAAAGCAUAAAAGACCAAGAGAAAACAAAAACCUCGAGAUGACCUUCUUGUAUGCUUGUCGACCAAACUGGUUGCUGUGACCCAACCAUGACAAAAAGAUGAAACAAAAAAAAUGCAUCUUCUACCCUUGACUCUUUCUGAGGCCACAGUUUUUUGAGUUGCGCCAAGAUCCUUGCACUGAAGCCCACUGUCGGCAAGCCCAACGAGUCGGUGAAAGUUUUCGGGUUGCUUGAGGACGGAUUCGCCAUAGACACCCAUGCUCUAGAAACCCAGCCUGGACAUGACCCAUUUGCAUUCACUUGUUCUGAGAAACCGAAAAAUCCAUUUUAGGGGACCGUAAUCAUUUCCUAGAGAAUUAACAGAAAAAACCACCUCACAUCCCUUCGAAUCAAGACCAACCCCAUAAAAUGCAAAAGUUGCUCAUGUCUCCAAGGGAGAAAGAGAGAAAGAAAAAGUACCAGAAUGUCCUACCGCUACUUCCAUAAGGGCAAUUUCUCCAACUGCAGCAAGUGAAGUAGCACUCUCACGUUCUCAACAGCGCAUCUCUCCCGUGGCUUCACCGCUAUCCUCUAGACCAGAAAACGCAUAACUCGAAACGUCAGUAGAAAUAAAUGGUUGUACUUCCCACCACAAUUGAUGGAGAAGCAAGAGAAGUCAUCCACCGCCGUCAAUAUCCCAAGCAUCCUUCUCUCAUCUAAUCUUGCUAAAGCCACGCAAGUAUCCCUAAUCUUUUUUAACGUCUUCGGACUCCACAAGUGCAAAGGAAGCCUUACCACGCUAACCCACACUUCCUUGGCAUGCGCACCUUUUCGACAACAGUCUACCUCGAGGGACGACCUAUCCAAGCGCAAAACCAUUUCCUUAAACCUUUUUACACCACUUGGCAAAACAAUCUCUUUAUCACAGCCAUGAUCAUACUCGAACUAUAGAACAACACCCCUUAGCAAGAUAAUCCUUAUCACCCCUUAGAGACCAAUCAUGACCUACACAACUCCUGAACCCAAGAAAAUCUGGGGUUAGGUAUAGAAAAUCUACCCAUCUCCCUACUAGACAACUACUCAAUUUCUCUAUCCGGGUUGAACCUCCUCAUCAAACUGAAUCCAAAUUGUUUCAUUCACCAAAUCGUGCUCUUUAUAACCAAGUCUACAAUAAACCCCUUCAAUGGAUACACUGAACUAUCCAUGUUCAAAGACCUUGAGGUAGUUGGGUAUGGAAGCCUCAUUUCCUUUGACGAAACUACUCAGAGAAAGUGAAGUUUGUCGGCCGGGAUAGACCCUAUCCCCUAGGAUACUUGUCACGACCCAAAUUCCGGGCGACCCAAAAUUUGACCCAUGACCCCAGGUCAAAGGUUUGACCCUAAGAGUUCCUCCUAUUCCACGUUGGCAGUCAACCAAAACACUCUGGAUUUUUUUUUUAUAUACAUCUCACUAGAAUUCUCAUAAACCACAAUAUCCCAAAACUACUCAAAACAACAAGAUUAAAUAAAUAUUCAUUAGAGUCCAAAAUAAAAUUUCACAAUUAACACUUAAUCAAAAUAAAGCUUCAUAACAAAUCCAUGAGUCAUAAUUACUAAAACAAAUCCAUGAGUCAUAAUUACUAAAACACAAUAACAGAAAAUGUCACGUUCCACUAGGCCGCUCCAGGAGCAUCCUGAAGUCCUCCCUGCCCCACCUGUGGAUCCUCAAGAGAGAUAUCUGCAUCUAAAAAUGUGUAACAAGGAAGGGGUGAGCAUUUCCACAUUGCUCAGUAGGGUGCCUAACACCCAAGGGGUUAAGGGGAUUACUAAGUUUCAAAGAAUACGAAAAGAACACUUCAACACCAUAGGAACAAUUCAACAAUAUCAAUCAAACCACAUAGUUUAAUAUAUAAUUCUAUACACAAUUUCACAAUAUUCAACAAUUACAGGAAUGCACAUGAACGUGUGACACACAGUCAUACAAUGCACUAUUGUUCUCAGGCUUUCACCGAAUGAUACGCGUCCGCACCCAAAUACACUCCCCAUUCGGAGUUGAUUCGUCCCUAGCAGCGGCAGUGGCAAUGGCACCAUCUGAUUCGGGGUUCGAUCCCCGGCAACGGCGCCAUUUGAUUCGUGCCCAAUUGAUGUCUCAGCUGAUUCGUGUCUAGCUGGUGCUCCUUGAUUGAGGGAUUAAUCAACAAAAUUUAUAACCUAUUACACCAUAUACUAGGGUAGCAAAGACAAAGCUACUAUAGCAUAGUGGCUCUAGGAUCGUUCACUGGGAUGGGUUUUCACUUCACAAAUGAUAUUAAUUCAAAGUUGAAUUGGUGCCUUUUCAUUUCAAGGUUAGCUUUAAAAGAAAACAUAAAAAUGUUUGAAUGAAAAAGGUUUGGUUUUACACUAACCAAAAAUAGUAACUGAUUUUACUUACAAAGAAAAGUGUUUCUUGGAGUUCAGAUCACUAGGCUCAGGUUCCUCAUACAAAAAAGAGAGUUCCGGUCACUUGUUUCUUUUCCUCGCAUUAGAGAAUUAACAUAUAGUUCCUUCUCCAACCGGUGUUGUACAGAUGCUUCCCAUUAAUGGGUUCAAACACUAAAUCCCUCUCACUGAUGCACCUUGCAAUGACUCAUACCUCUCACCUAGCACUUGCCAUUCAAGGUGAUCUUUAACCUUGGAUUACCCGUCAAAAGCUCGCAAGAGAUAACUAAUGGAUGUCUCCUUGGAGUCCAAAAGCUUACCAAGUGUUGGCUAUUCUAGAAAAUCCUACCUUCAAGUCACCUCCCAAAGGCUCGCAAUGGGUAAACUAGUGCAUCUCCAUGGACGGAGAUCACUUGCCUUACCAAGUGUUGGCCCAGGUGAUUUAAAGGCGUUUUAAGUUAACUAAAAAGAUAAAAACCAUUAACGGGUUACACUUUCUCUUCAUUAAAAACUAAAACAACAAAACUUCCAAAUUAUGCAUGUGGAAACUUACCCGGCUUUCCUUACUCCAAGAGACAAAAAGCUUAGCCUCUCAUCCUCUUAGGAAAAAUCCUCAGAGUUUGGUUAGCUAGAAAUAAAAAGAAAUGAAAAAUCAAAGAGAAGGAAAAACAGAGCAAGGCUCUGUAUAUUCUAUAUAUUUAUCGAUAUGGAUUACAUGAUACUCUUACAGUGGAUGCAAGGGAAUAUAUAUAGAGACAUUUUUCCAACCUUCCCAACUAAGAAAUCUUAUGGUUGGUGGAUUACAAGGAGAAGAAUGGAAAUUCAUACAAAAAUAUCUGAAGAAAAAUAUCCCAAAGUGUCGGUCACAAAUAUCGGGGUGCUUCAGGAACCAUUUCGCAAGAGAAAAUGGUGUCUGCGAGAUUUCGCAGGCACUCAAGAAGGGUUGCGAAAUUACUUCGCAUCAACAAGCUGAACUCGCACCGCUGCGAAGUUGGAUUUCAUCUUGUGGUGUUUGGCUUCCAUCGCGACGUGAAACUUCAAGAGGAAUUUCAAAACACUGUACAAAAAGGCUGCGAAAUCAUCUCGCAACAAAAGGGUGAUUUCGCAACACUUUGCAAAUUUCUUCCUUCAGCUUGGAGUGAUUGACUUGCAGUGGCUGUAACUUCUUCGUUUCAACUCCAAAUUGCACACCGUUUGAAGCAUUGGAUUCUUGACUUCCUGAGCUUUGAAAUGGUAUAUAGAAUGUACAAAAUUGACUUCGGGAAGUGCUCCAAAAGUGCACAAGAAAACUGCAGCUGUUGUCCUAUGUUUUCUUCACUCUGUUUUUCCUCUCUCCUUGCUUCUCUCCUUGCAUACUUUGAACGACUUUGGCAAAGGGCUAUGGAGCUCCAAAGCUUGGUUCUUCAUUAAUUUGAGCUCUUCAUUGCUUUGCCAUGGAUUCCAAAUAACUCUCCUCAAUCCUGGAUUGUUUUGGUGAUCAAAUUACUAACAAAAACACCAAAACUUACACAAUUUGAUUAGAAAUGAUUGCAAGGGUCCUUAACAUGUUAAUUGGGUUAAAAGGCAAUAACUACUACUCAAAAGUGUUUAAAAGAGUUAAUUACAAGCUAUCAAAUAGCACUUUUUGAGUAGUAAUCAGUCUUCCUGGGGUAACUUUUGGGUCUUUCACCCUAGGGAUCUCUCUCCCUUCUUAAUUCGUCCCACACGACUUUCACUUCUCAUCACUAUUUCUUUUUUUUUUUUUUUUCCAUUUCAUACACUUUUCACAAUCUUCAUAAUUUUAUUUAUUUUCCACAUAACCAUGAUGCAAAUGAAUGCCACAAUUCCAAGGUUCCUCAAUAAUUCAACAAUUUCAACAUUCCCCAAUAAUCCAAUAAAAUAAUUUCACACAUUAAAAUUUCUGAUAAUAUCCCAAAUAAAUAUUCAAAAAUUUGCAUAUCAAAAAUCUUGAAAUUUUACCAUACUUACGGAAUUUUUCAACCAUUAUAAUAAUUUCUAAUAUUCGAAAUUAACUAACUUUCUAUCAUAAAAAUUCCAAAAAUUUUCUAACUAAUGCCUAAAAAUUCACCAAUUACUAUUUUUGAAAUUUAGCCCUAAUUUUGGAAUUUUUCAACCCUUCAAAUAAUUUUUUUACAAUUCAAAACAAUUAAUUAUCAAUCAAAAUCAAUUUCCCGCAAUUACAAAAAUUCCAAACAAAUUCCAAAUAUUCUAGAAAAAUUCAUACAAUCCCCAUAAUUCCUAAUUAACUCAUAAUGACAAUAUUUACAAUUUUUUUCAAGGGAAAAACAUAAAAAUUUAAGUUUUAAGGUUAGGGUCCCCUACCAAAGAUCUAAGAAUUCAGCUGCUAAAAAUACAAUUGGCCACUGUAUGAUUGUUCCCCUCGUCGAGUAGAACACACCCUCCAAAUCUGAGUUGAAACGGAGGUCGUUUGACCACCCAAACGACCGGUCAAAGCUCCGGCGAGGUGAGAUUUUCUAUAGUGCCGCUGCCCCUUUUCUCCCAGAUCUGCUACUGUUCCCUUCUUUUCCACUUAAGCCCAUUUCUUUUCAUUUUAAUCCACUUACCAAACAGCCCACUCAAGCCCAACCCAAGUUCAAAAUAAACCCAAUAACUAACUCCCAUUUUUCUUUUAAAACCCUAUUUCAUCCAAGCCCAAAUUACUCCAUUUUCAUUUUUUUUUUUCUUUUCUCUUUAUUUUUAUAAAACACACAAUUUAAUAUUUUUCUCAAUUUUUUAUUAAUAAGGAAUUUAAUUUAAUUAACUAUUAUUUUUUUUCUAAUUAAUUUUAAUUAAUUAACUUUUCAUUUUUGUUUUCGUUUUUUUUUCUUUUCCGGAAAUUCCCAAUUACUAAAAUCCUAAGAAAUUUCCACCCUAAGGCUGACAUGGCAUAAAAUUUUCAACUCACCUAAUUGACCAACACAAUAAACUGAAUUUCACCAAUCCAAAACUAACACCUGUUCUUCAGGCACUUUUCUUUUUGACUUUUCAACCAUCAUUUAAAAUAAGACUUUUCAAACUAAAAAUGCUAACGUGACAUAAAAUACCCGGUCAUUACAUCCUACCCCCCUAAAAGAAAUUUCGUCCCGAAAUUUAAACUAGCUUACCUUAAAAUUCAUAGAAGAGUUGCGAAUAGUGUCGUCUCAUUUCUUCCUCAGGUUCCCAAGUGGCUUCUUCUAUCCCAUGGUGUUGCCACCACACUUUGACUGCAGGAAUCACCUUGUUCCUAAACCUAUGCUCUCCAACUUCCAGAAUUCGUAAAGGUUCCUCCACAUAAGAAGUAUUUUCACUAAUCUGAACAUCUUGCAAAUCCACUACCCAAGUUGGAUCUGGAGUACACUUCCUUAGCAUUGACACAUGGAAAACAUCAUGCACAAGGGACAACUGUUGAGGCAAAAUUAACUUGUAUGCCACUGUGCCAACUCUCUUAUCAAUCUGAAAUGGUCCCACAAACCUAGGGGCUAACUUCCCCUUCUUCCCAAAUCGAAAUAUGCCUCUUCGAGGGGACACUUUUACAAACACCCAAUCCCCUUCCUCAAACUCCAAGGGUCUUCUCCUUUUGUCUGCAUAACUUUUCUGUCUAUCUUGGGCAGUCUUAAGUUUUUCCUUGAUGAGUUGUAUCUUCUCUGUAGUCUCUUAGACAAUCUCAGGUCCCAACAAACGACUUUCACCCAUCUCUAUCCAACACAAGGGCGACCUACAAGGUCUCCCAUAAAGUGCUUCAUAAGGUGCCAUGCCAAUACUAGAUUGGUAACUGUUGUUAUAAGCAAACUCUACUAAAGGUAAGUAAUCUGCCUAAUUUCCUCCAAAAUCCAAAACACAAGCCCUUAACAUGUUUUCUAAGAUCUGGAUCACUAUUUCUGAUUGACCAUCUGUCUGAGGGUGAAAAGCGGUGCUAAAAUUCAGUUGAGUGCCCAAAGCCCUUUGUAAACUCUGCCAAAAUUGAGAAGUAAACUUAGGGUCCCUGUCAGACACUAUAGAUACAGGUAUCCCAUGCAAUCUCACAAUCUCCUGUAUAUACAACUUAGCCAAAGAGUUCAUGGAAUCAGUAGUUUUCAUGGCUAGAAAAUGAGCUGACUUAGUAAGACGGUCCACAAUCACCCAAACUCCAUUUUUCUUGCUUUUAGUUCUUGGCAACCCUAUCACAAAGUCCAUAGUGAUAUUAUCCCACUUCCACUCAGGUAUAGGUAAAGGUUGCAACAAUCCUGCAGGCCUCUGGUGUUCAGCCUUCACUUGCUGACAAAUCUGACAAUUAGCUACAACCUGAGCAAUAUCUCUCUUCAUCCCACUCCACCAAAACUGUCUCUUUAAGUCUUGAUACAUCUUGGUAUUCCCAGGAUGGAUGGUAUACUUCGCCCUAUGAGCAUUUGCUAGAAGUUCAUUUCUCAACUCCACAUCUUUUGGCACACACAAUCUCCCUUUGAACCUCACACUCCCAUCUUCAUACAUAGACCAAUUUUCAUCUAUUUCACCUGCUACCAACUGGGCUUUAACCUUUUCUAAAAACUCAUCAUGAACUUGGGCCUCCACUAUUCUCUGGAUAACCAUUGGUCUAGCUGAUAUACUGUACAAGCAUGGACCAUGCCCUUCCAAACCAAGACAUAAUUCAAAAUCCUCAAUAACUGCAUGCAUCUCAAACUCUCUCAACUCCAAGCUAGACAACUGGCCAACACUCUUCCUACUCAAGGCAUCUGCUACAACAUUCACCUUUCUUGGAUGAUAAUGAAGAGCAAAAUCAUAAUCUUCCAAUGUCUCCAUCCAUCUCCUUUGCCUAGAGUUCAGAUCCUUUUGAGUGAAAAUAUAUUUCAAACUCUUGUGAUCAGAGUACACCUCAAACUUCUCUCCAUACAAAUAGUGUCUCCAAGUCUUAAGGGCAAACACCACUACUGCAAGCUCCAAAUCAUGUGUUGGAUAAUUCCGCUCAUGCUGCUUUAACUGUCUUGAGGCAUAAGCUACCACCUUGCCUUGCUGCAUUAGCACACACCCUAGCCCCACUGUGGAAGCAUCACAAUAAAUUGUAAACAACUCUCCACUAAUAGGAGCAGUUAACACUAGAGCAGUGGUCAAUUUCCGCUUCAACUCCUGGAAAGCAUUCUCAUACUCCUCAUUCCAAUCAAACUUCACCCCAUUUCUAGUCAACCGAGUCAUUGGUACUGCAAUUCUAGAGAAGUCUUCCACAAACCUCCUAUAAUAUCCAGCCAACCCCAAGAAACUUCUAACCUCAAAUACAUUGGUAGGCCUUUGCCACUCCUAAACAGCUUCCACCUUGGAAUGGUCUACUGCUAUUCCUGCCUCAGAAACCACAUGGCCUAAGAAAUUCACUUCAGUAAGCCAAAACUCACUUUUUUCCAACUUCCCAUACAACUGAUGUCUUCUUAAAGUUUUAAGAGUGGUCACCAAAUGCUGUUUAUGCUCCUCCAAACUCCUAGAGUAAAUCAAAAUGUCAUCCACAAACACAAUCACAAACUGAUCUAAGUAAGCAUGAAAUACUCUGUUCAUUAAAUCCAUGAAAGCAGCGGGGGCAUUAGUUNNNNNNNNNNNNNNNNNNNNNNNNNNNNNNNNNNNNNNNNNNNNNNNNNNNNNNNNNNNNNNNNNNNNNNNNNNNNNNNNNNNNNNNNNNNNNNNNNNNNUUAGUGUGCCAUCCUUCUUCUUCACAAACAACACUGGGGCUCCCCAUGGCGACGUACUCGGACGAAUAAAACCUUUACCCAACAAUUCAUCCAACUGAGUUUUCAAUUCCUUCAACUCAAGAGGGGCCAUCCUAUAAGGGGAUACUGAAAUAGGAUCAGUUCCUGGGAAUACUUCAAUAAAGAAAUCAAAUUCUCUAUGAGGUGGUAAACCUGGAAACUCAUCUGGGAAUACAUCUUGAAACUUUCUCACCACUGGAAUUUCUGCAAUGUCCUUCUAGGCUUUCUCCUUACCACGAAGGUAAGCUAGGAAAUUUAUUGAUCCCUUCCUCAACACAUACUGAUAGCACGGAUUGGAUUGCGAAAAAAGCAAACUAACACACUUUCCUCCAACAAAGCAAACCUCAAAUCCCUCUGGCAGACAAAAUAUUAUCCUGCGGCGAUGACAAUCAAUAAUUGCUCUAUACACUGCCAACCAAUCCAUUCCCAAGAUAACAUCAUACCCAGUCAUAUCUAAAAUCCUCAAAUCCACAUUAAGUGCUAUAUCCACCAAGGUAAUAACGCACCCCUUGCAUAUUCUAUCAACUUUAGAGUUCGUACCCAUAGGGGAUUCAAUAAGUAACAAAUUCUCUACCCUUUCUGAUUUCAACCCUGAUGCAUUAGCACAAGAUAUAGAAAUGAAAGAAUGAGUUGCACCAGUAUCAAACAAAACAUGCACCCAAGUACUAUAUACCAAAAUCAUACCUUCCACCAAGAGAGCGUCCUCCUCUGACUCUGUUGGGGUCAAGGCAAAAACUCUCCCAGCUGUCUGCCUUCCCCUACCUCUAGCAUUCGACCCCUGAGAAGAGCGGGUCUGACUCGUGGUAGCUGUCCUAGUUCCCUGUGCUGCUGGGGGUAAUUGUGGCAUCUGAUAGUAAGGCAACUGAAACUGAGGGGGCUGGAAAGGCACUACUGACUGUUAUUGAGAACUUCCCUGAGACUGAGGUCGAGCCUGCUGUGCACCUUGCACUGGGCAAGCCCUCCAUAAAUGGUCUCCUGCUCCACAACCAUAACAUACUCUAUUAGCAGCUGCCCUCUGAGCAAUCUGCCCCCCUCCUGCAUAGAACGAGGGACGCCUCUCAAACUGCUAAGUCCUCUGCCUCUGCUGUGGCCCUUGGGAACUUUCCCUCAUUCUUUGUUUCCCUUUUCUGUCCCCCUUUUGCUCUCGAAUUUGGUUAGUUUCGUCAAUGUCCUGCUCCACCAACAAAGCCCUCUUAACCAACUCAGAAUAGUCCCUUAUUGCCAAUGGGACUAAUCUAUUCCUAAUAGCAGGCCUCAACCCCUGCUGGAACCUUCUAGCCUUUUCUCCUUCCUCCCCGAUCAUCCCCAAAGCAAAUCUAGACAACUCCGAAAAGCGUGACUCGUACUCCAGCACCGACAUGGUUCCCUGGAUGAGGUGCUCAAACUCCAUCCUCUUGGCAUGCUUAGCCACCUCCCCAAAAUACUUGCCUAGGAAGAUUCUCUCAAAUUCCUCCCAGGUCAUAACCUCAGUGUCAUACACCCUUUUCAUUGAUUCCCACCAGAAAUCAGCUUUAUCAACAAGCAUAUAUGUUGCUAGACCUACCCUUCUUUCCUCAGGUAUGUCCAGUCCCACCAGAAUUCUUCUCAUCCUCCUCAACCAAUGCUCAGUUGCUUCAGCAUUGGGCUCUCCAUUAAAAGAUGGAGGUUGCAUCACCAUGAACCUCUUUAUUGCUUCCAUUUGGCUCAUUACUGGCCUCUCAGUGCGGUUCCUCCUAUGUGAGUGGCCUGAAUCCUCAUGGCCCUGGGUACCUCCUGAUCUCCUGGAACCCUGGCCUCUCAUCAAUUCAACAGUUUCUCUCAACUCUCUUCUUACUUCUCGGAGUUCUUCUCUUACCGUCUCCAACUCCUCAUUCCUCUCUGAUCUUCCUCCUCUGGUCCUUCCCGCCAUUUCAAGUUUAACAAACCCUAAUUCAAUCACAUUACUAAGGUGAGCAAAAAUAAAUUUCACAUAUACACACUUAGCAACUUCAACAAUUAUCAAAACUUUCACUUUCAUACACUCAUAAUACAUAAUUCAAUUAAUCAUCAACUAGUUAAUUAACACAUACAAAAAUCAUAACAUUACAACACACAUAAACACCCAAGGUAUUAUUGCAACCUUGGCUCUGAUACCACGCUGUCACGACCCUAAUUCCGGGCUACCCAAAAUUUGACCCGUGACCCCAGGUCAAAGGUUUGACACUAAGGGUUCCUCCUAUUCCAUGUUGGCAGUCAACCAAAACACUUUGGAUUUUUUUUUUUUUUAUAUAUACAUCCCACUAGAAUUCUCAUAAACCACAAUAUCCCAAAACUACUCAAAACAACAAAAUUAAAUAAAUAUUCAUUAUAGUCCAAAAUAAAAUUUCACAAUUAACACUUAAUCAAAAUAAAGCUUCAUAACAAAUCCAUGAGUCAUAAUUACUAAAACAAAUCCCAAAAUCCAAACAAAAAACACAAUAACAGAAAAUGUCACGCUCCACUAGGCCGCUCUAGGAGCAUCCUGAAGUCCUCCCUGCCCCACCUGUGGAUCCUCAAGAGAGAUAUCUGCAUCUAAAAAUGUGUAACAAGGAAGGGGUGAGCAUUUUCACAUUGCUCAAUAGGGUGCCUAACACCCAAGGGGUUAAGGGGAUUACUAAGUUUCAAAGAAUACGAAAAGAACACUUCAACACCACAGGAACAAUUCAAAAAUAUCAAUCAAACCACAUAGUUUAAUAUAUAAUUUUAUAUACAAUUUCACAAUAUUCAACAAUUACAGGAAUGCACAUGAACGUGUGACACACAGUCAUACAAUGCACUAUUGUUCUCAGGCUUUCACCGAAGGAUACGCGUCCGCACCCAAAUACACUCCCCAUUCGGAGUCUUCCCGGGGUAACUUUUGGGUCUUUCACCCUAGGGAUCUCUCUCCCUUCUUAAUUCGCCCCACACGACUUUCACUUCUCAUCACUAUUUUUUUUUUUUCCAUUUCAUACACUUUUCACAAUCUUCAUAAUUUUAUUUAUUUUCCACAUAACCAUGAUGCAAAUGAAUGCCACAAUUCCAAGGUUCCUCAAUAAUUCAACAAUUUCAACAUUCCCCAAUAAUCCAAUAAAAUAAUUUCACACAUUAAAAUUUCUGAUAAUAUCCCAAAUAAAUAUUCAAAAAUUUGCAUAUCAAAAAUCUUGAAAUUUUACCAUACUUACGGAAUUUUUUAACCAUUAUAAUAAUUUCUAAUAUUUGAAAUUAACUAACUUUCUAUCAUAAAAAUUCCAAAAAUUUUCUAACUAAUGCCUAAAAAUUCACCAAUCACUAUUUUUGAAAUUUAGCCCUAAUUUUGGAAUUUUUCAACCCUUCCAAUAAUUUUUUUACAAUUCAAAACAAUUAAUUAUCAAUCAAAAUCAAUUUCCCGCAAUUACAAAAAUUCCAAACAAAUUCCAAAUAUUCUAGAAAAAUUCAUACAAUCCCCAUAAUUCCUAAUUAACUCAUAAUGACAAUAUUUACAAUUUUUUUUCAAGGGAAAAACAUAAAAAUUUAAGUUUUAGGGUUAGGGUCCCCUACCAUAGAUCUAAGAAUUCAGCCGCUAAAAAUAUGAUUGGCCAUCGUAGGAUUGUUCCUCUCGUCGAGUAGAACACCCCCUCCAAAUCUGAGUUGAAACGGAGGUCGUUUGACCACCCAAACGACCCGUCAAAGCUCCGGCGAGGUGAGAUUUUCUAUAGUGCCGCCGCCCCUUUUCUCCCAGAUCUGCUACUGUUCCCUUCUUUUCCACUUAAGCCCAUUUCUUUUCAUUUUAAUCCACUUACCAAACAGCCCACUCAAGCCCAUUUCGUUUCCUCUUAAACAGCCCACUCAAGCCCAACCCAAGUUCAAAAUAAGCCCAAUAACUAACUCCCAUUUUUCUUUUAAAACCCUAUUUCAUCCAAACCCAAAUUACUCCCUUUUCAUUUUUUUUUUAUUUUCUCUUUAUUUUUAUAAAACACACAAUUUAAUAUUUUUCUCAAUUUUUUAUUAAUAAGGAAUUUAAUUUAAUUAACUUUUUUUUUUCUAAUUAAUUUUAAUUAAUUAACUUUUCAUUUUUGUUUUCGUUUUUUUUUUCUUUUCCGAAAAUUCCCAAUUACUAAAAUCCUAAGAAAUUUCCACCCUAAGGCUGACAUGACAUAAAAUUUUCAACUCACCUAAUUGACCAACACAAUAAACCGAAUUUCACCAAUCCAAAACUAACACGUGUUCUUCAGGCACUUUUCUUUUUGACUUUUCAACCAUCAUUCAAAAUAAGACUUUUCAAACUAAAAAUGCUAACGUGGCAUAAAAUACCCAGUCAUUACAAUACUUCUUCCUUGAGGGAAGCUCAAGGUGAACCUUUUAGUCUCCACACAACAAAUCAAGCAAAUAAUGAACCCAUCUGCCUCAUAAGAGCUUAGUUCCAGUGUAAACUCUGUCUCGUCUUCCACCCAUGUUUUGUUGCACAAAUUUUCAUCCUCAGACCUAUAACAAGCUUCCACAUCUUCCAACAAACAACACAAGUUCCUUUUCCCACACCUGAUCCACCUGGACACACCUCUGCAUCUCUCCAAAAUUCUCUUUUAGUUUCCCUCCAAACGUCUCUAUUAAGAUAUCAAAUGACUUUGAUCCUAUUGCAAAACAACACCUACCAUUUCUCGUCUCUCAUUGUAUAUUGUCUGGGAAGAGUAUAAAUGUGGAAAGCGUUUUUUGCUUGUCCCACAUAGGAAAAAGUGGAACACUUUUAGUGGGUUUAUGCCCACUCGCCUUAGCCUAAUGGGCCUUUGAGUGGGAAAAGCUCGCAUGCUCAUGGGGUCGAAUCCCAUUUGAGUGGGUUUUUAAUGUUCACUUUCUCUCCUCCUUCCUUCCUGUGUACGGGUGCGUUAUUCGCUAAUUUUUAUUUGUUACUCUUUUACUUUUUGUCAACUCUUUGGGAAGAACCCUAGAGUUCCAAUGAGAUUGUACUAGUAGAUGUCUUGUAACAUUUACAACUAGACUCUUGUUCUAUUUACAAGUAGAGUCUUAUUCGGAAUGUCAUGCAUUCGAGUAAGAGCAUUUGCCUUUCUUCUCUAUGUAAAUAAAAGGUUGGAAUGAUUUCAAGACCCUCAACAAAAGAAUGGAUUAAGGUGACAUUUUUAUUCGCUAUGAAAAAUAGUUUUGUUGUUUUUUUUUUUUUUUGUUUUUGUCGCUAAUAAAUUUUGCUCAUUAAGUUCUUGUUUGAUGUGCCCUUGUUAGAACACUAUAAUAGUUGUUCUUUUUGGGUUAAUGGUCUCAAUCAUGAAUUGAUAAAAUUUCAUAUCCUUUUUCUUUUGGAUUCCAAGCUCGGUUUUUUCUUAAUCAUUGUGGAAGACGAAGCGGUUCGCUAGCCUCUACAUCUAUAGAUCCUACGUAAUAAUUAAACUUGGUGGUGGCUCGUUGUUUGAUGAGUGAUUCCUUGAUCACUAGAUCUCGAGAUUCCACCUUAUUCUUGGUUGAUUGGCAUUCUUGUAAGCUAAUCUUGCAUACUAAUUCUAGGGGUCCUAGGUGAUGCACCAACCAAAGAAUGUUUAUUCCCUUAGCCAUAAAACAUGAGAUUGGCAAUGCUUGUUGCUCAUUAGUCUGUCAUUAAUAAGAUUUCUAGCUAUUGUUUUUAUUUCACUUACAAGUAAAGUCUUGUUCUAUGUUAGUGACAUAUAAAACUAAGACACUCCUCACUUUCCAAACACCAAUUUUUUGAAGAGUUUUUCAUAGCACUUUUCAUACAUCUAUGUAGAGGAAAUUUUCAAAGCUUAAGCUAUCCAUGACCUUUCUAAAAAGUGCACGCCCAGUGAGAUUCACUAGCAUUAAAUCUUGGAGGUAUAAUAUUAAUACCUUAAUACAUUGGGUUUGUCUUUGAGAUGGUUGGAUUUUUUUCAAGGAUAGAGCUUGUCAUGCCUUAGCUCAUAACCAAUAAGUUUUCUUGUUAUUCGUUUUAUUCUUUUUGUGUUUUUUACGUAAGUCCUUUGUUUUCAUACCCUUGGUAAACUUUUUAGCAAUGUUUUAUUUUGAAUACCAUAAGUUCUUCUCCCAUUCUCUUUACUGCAAACUUUGACAAAAAAAAAAAGGUUUUGCCCAAACUUUUAGAAGUUUUCUAUUUCAUUCCUAGGUGUGUGAGAGAGAUUUGUAACUCUCAAGUAAGAUUUAGGGAUAAGAGCUAUCAUGAGAAUUUGUACACUAAUGGUUUUAUAGUGGACUUAAGUUUUGUGAUGUCUGGUAGUUUUUACAUUGGCAUAAUCUUUUGGACAACUUUAAAUUAAUAUUCUCAUAAACUUUAUUAUCAUAAAUAUUUUGGGCUAAAGGGAAGUAAAUGCUGUAAAAAAUGUUAGUGUUGCACAAUUUAUUUUACUAUAACUGUAAGUAACUGAUUUAUUUUACUUAAUGUGAAUAUAAUGGGGCUCACGGUUGCCAUUUUGGAUAUGUUGGUUCUAUGAUAGUAAGGUUAGGAAGGCAACCAAAUAAUGAUGUCUCAAACAAAAAAUGUUCAAAAUUAUAUCAUGCCUUGUUUAAUUUAUAAAAAUAAAUAAGUAAAUGUGUUUUUAUGUUAGCUAUAUUGAAACGGUAAUCAAGAUAUGGAAUUAGUCUCUUGGACGGACUAUAAUGUAAAACCAAAGACAAUUCUAAUAGAAAAAGCACUGUCACAUUCCAAUCAAAAUUUGAACACUCCAUCCGCAAAUGAAAAGCUAACAUGUCCCAAGAUUAUAAAGUCAUUAUUGGUUUCGGAUGCCAAUGGUUCUAAGCCUUGUGUCUUCCCUAUAAACUAAAAUUGAUGUCUUUUAGUCCUUACUAUGUGACAAUCCCAGUCUUGUGCAUGGAGAAAGGAUCAAGCUUCAAUUGGUAGCACGGUUUGUAGAGGUGUAUGCGCAACUUGCAGAUGAGAUCGUACUCUUAUGGGUGGAAUAGCGCAUAGUGUUGCUGGUUGAUCUGCCAGUGAACUAGCUUGUAGAAUCACGAGUGUUGAUAGUCAAUCUAUCGUACAACCUGAAUCUCUUUAAGCUAAUAAUCUUAUGGCUUUUUAUGAUAUUACGCUGGUGGAGAAAUAUUUUGUUUAAGAAUUCAAUAUGAUGUUUCUAGUGGAUUGGUGUGCUUGAAUGUUGUGCAUUGUCAAUGUUUGCUUUAAUUGUCGUAAUUGGAGUGAAUUUUGGGGAAUCAGAUAGUAAGAAAUGAGCCUUUUGCAUGGGAAGGCAAUGCUGCUGGAGAACCAAAUUUCCUUUGAAGUUAGCGAUAGAGUGAUAGUGGUGUUUUCAUUCUUGCAAAAAUUGAAGAAUUUUUGGUUUGUCGUGAUCAUGCAAAUUAUUAAUGGGAAACAUAAUCGAAAGCUUGAUGGAAGGUGGAUGCCAACCAAUGGUGGAUAGUAGGGACCAAAUGAUUGUGAUGUGUAUAGGUAUAAGCAUCUGCUUGAUCUAUACCAAAGUAUAAAAUUGAUGGUAUAGGAUCAUUCGGAGAUUUGGUCCUAGAGUUUAUGGUCUUAUCAUUUGAAGAUGAAAACGACCAGUUGUGGUCGUUGGAAUCUACAUGAAGCAUAGUCCUACAAGUUAUUAUUUUAACAUUAUUAAGUUAUUAAUGAAUAAAAUAUUUAUUUAUAAUAUUUUCUGUAUAUCAAUUUAUAUUUGUUGAAAUAAUAUUAGAUUUUUUAGCUUAAAAAAAAUGUAGUCACAAUUGUGAAGUGAGGGUUUAGUUAAAAAAAUGGAGUCUCUAUUAACAAUUGUGGUUUCAAUUAAAAAAUGAAGACUCGUUGUCAGUACGGUUUUAAAAAUUGAAUUGGAUUGGUUGGUUGGAAUGUCGGUCAAUUUGAAUGGUUCAAACGUCCUUCGGUCGCCGUUUUGUUUGGUUCAAACGUCCUUCGGUCGCCAUUUUGUCUAGUUCGGUCAUUUAAGAAGGAAAGUGUUUGAAGCAGAAUUAGGCUAGUUAAAUUGGUGGUUGGAUCAUCGAAUAAAUCAAAGGGUUCCCUUCGAAUCGUACGAGUGAAUAUUUUUUUGUUUUUUUUCCAUUGUUGUCGUCUCUCGUCAGUUGGACCCCCACCUUGCGCUGGAAAAGCCCCCUCUUGCCGUCCCCGUUGCUAGAAAAGCACUUUGUGUUGCAAAGUCACCACCCUCGUGACGUUGUUGAGACCUCGCACCCCACGCCUCAUCUUAUUGUUCCUCGCCAACAGAACCCCCACCACCCUGUAAAGCCGUUGCCAUCUUCACCCUGGAAACCCCAUCCUCUAGGAGAGAAGGAAUUCUUAAAAGGAGAGUUUAUAGAGAGGGGAGAGGAGGGGGGAGAGAGAGAGAAGAAGCGUGCAGUGACAGCACAGAGAUUUUGUAUCAGACGGAGUAGAAAUGAGGGAGGUGAGUUCACUUUUCAAAUAUUAAAUUUAAUUUUCUCAUUCUUGUCUUCAAUAUACGUGUUAUUAUAUUUUGUAUCUUGAUUUUACAAAACAUUAUUCAGUUACAGAAAGAGAAAUGGGAAAAGUUUUAUUAUUAACACAAGUUUCAUUUGUUACAUCUAAUAUAUUUUUUAUACAUGGCUUAUUUUGACUAAAAACUCCCUUGAAACAGUGUAGAGAUAUCUAGCGGUAUUCUUUCUGACUAUCUCAUUCUCCUCGUAACAAAUAACAAUGGCAGGGAACAUGGUCAUCCUUCAAAUGGAGGAGCAGUGGGAAUCAUUCCCGGUUGGUAGUGAUCAUAUGAGAGCCUUGAUUGAUUUAAAAUCCAGAUUUCAUCGACUAGAACUUGAAGUGGAAUCUGAAUCUUCGUUAUCAUCAAGUGUAAAGCUGCAAUGUCCUAAAUUGGAACAUAGAUUUGGUUGAGUUAUCAAUGGUGAUGGGAGGAAUUCUCAGGCAUGCGGUGGUCUCAUUUAAACUUAAAGAAAUGUCCCUCAUGUGACAUGUAAGACUGCGCUUGAUGCGGAUUCCAACGUCCAUCAAUUCCUUCUCAUUUCUAAAUGAUGUCAUAACCUCUCUGACAUCUCUAAUUGAUGCAUAUCUAGCAUACAACCAAUCCAACUAUCCAAUAACGAAGGACCUUCCAAAUUUUUCAUUUUAACGAUGCGUUGGGCUGCUAGAAUGUUCAUCACCUAGGAUAAUUCUUCGGAAGAGAUCGAGUAGACGAUGACAAGGCUUUGACUCGUUCUUAGGACUUUGCGACUUCAAUUUGGGGCCAAUAAUUUUGUUGUAUGGGAAGAACAGGCUGGGGUAAUAAUUCUUCAUUUUUUGCAGCAAGGACUCCCUCGUACCUAUAAAUUCCUGUAAUAUUGACUCGUCGUUAAUGCCGAAGAAUUCCUGGAACACUGGCAUCCAAAAAAAACCCACCGCUCCUGAACUCACCUUCUUCAUCAGCUUCAAAAAAUAAUUUUUAAAUAUAAAGUUAAAUAGAUAACUUAUUCUUAAUCUUAAACAUAUUUUCUUUCAUUUGUCCAUAUUUAAUAAAAACAUAUUUUAUAACUAUGACUUUACAUCCAUAAAUUAUUUUUUUAUACAACAUAUUAUAUAAUUAUGUUAUACAUUUAAAAUACUUUAAACAUAGAUAUUUAACAAAUACAUUUAUAACUUAAGAUGAAUAAAAGUAAAUAUAAGUUUAAAUUAAUGAACAAAUAUUAUUUAAAAUUAAUGAGAAUAAAUACGAUUAAUUUAAUUAUUUAAAAUAAAUUUUAAGUUAAUUUUAUUCAAUAAUCUUAAUAUUUAAAUUUAAAAAUAAGUUUUAAGUCAAUAUUAACUUAAAUUGUUAAGUAAUAGUAAUAAGUUUUACCCAACAUCUUUUUAAUUAUUGAAUUCAUAUUUCUUUUAUCAUUUCUCUUAUCCAAUUAAAAUUAUUAGAAAUCCAUCCAUUUAUGUUUUCUAUUUAAUCUCUUUAGCAAACUCGUCAUGUUUGAGUAGUUAAAUUAAAUCUUAUGUUUCCUCUCUCUUUGGGAUUUGAGAAAAAAAAAUCGAUAAUUUUAAAAAACAUUUAUUAAAAUAUGAUAGUUUUAAAAAUAUUUUAAAAUUUAUAAUAGCAAAGCAAAAAUCCAAUUGGAAAUAUUUUUGAAGCACCAUAUUUUAAUAAAUAUUAAAAAAUGGUUUUUUUUUUCCCCUCAAAAUCCCCAUCUUGGCUCUUGAGCAUUGCCCUCCCACUUCUAGUUAAUUUGUAACCACAUGUUUCAAUUUUGUUUAUUGAUGAGACAUUUCAAUAAUAUCCGAAUUGCCUUCACAGGUUUGGACGUUUCUUUGCCUUGUAUCUCGGCUAAGGAUAAUCUAGUUUUUUCUUAUCAUGUAUCACGUAAUGUUAUGGGAAAUUGUCUUAAACAAAAAUAUUGUUCAACAUUUAAUAUCCAUUAGACUUAAUUUCAUUCACCUUCCCUUAGAUUUUUGUUAAUACAUUUUAUUCUUAUAAAUUAAAAUUUCAUCAAAUAUAUAUUUUAUUUCUUUUUAUUUUUUAUUUUCACUCACCUUCUUUCUCAUUUAAAAUAAAUAAAGUAUUUGAUAAAAUUUCAAACUUAUAAAUACCAGAUAAAACUAGUCAAAACCUCAAGAAAAUGAAAUUAACUCAAUCCCAUUGUAAAUUCUCGUAUGAUUAAAUAUUAAGAUGAAUACGACAUAUCUUUAAGAUGAGUAUAAAUAAAUAUAAUAUCAAAUUAUAUAUAAAAAGGAUAGUUUAAAUUAAAUAAUCAAUUUAAUUUUCAAAUAAAAUGAUUAAUGUCAUUUUAACAUAUACGUGAUAUCGACUCCUACAUGUAUGGUUUAAUUUAAUGUUACCCACAUAGCUAUUCCAAAAUUAAAAUUUUUACUUACCCCUACGAUGUUAAGGCGGAGUAAUUGAUCAUACAAUGCAUAAUAAUUAUUUUCUUCAUUAGAUUAAAUAAUACAAAUUACAUAUACGAAUGAGAUUAUUUAGAUGGGAUUUCUAAUUAAUGAUCCAGCUUAGGUGUGAACUUAAAUUAUGUGUUUGUUGGAAACCCUUGUGAUGGAAUAAAAUUUCAUCCUUUUAUACUUGUAUUUAUUUUUUUUGAAGAACAAGUUUGACUUUUCCUUUAUAAUAAACAUUAAGUCUUUUUUUAAAGGGUAAAUAAGACUUUAAUAAUGUUAAUUGUUAAGUGAAGUGUGAACAUCUCCUCCAUGUGAACAACUGGAGCAUCUUUUACCUACAACUUAUAUGUAUUGUCUCGUUGUUCACAUGAAACAAUAAAUAGUGUAAGUCAAAUUCUCAUUACAAAUAUAAAAUUGCAUUAAUUCUCUAUUAUUAUUAAUCUUGGAUAUUGCACCAACAAAAACUGAGAUUAUAAUUAAAUAAAUCCAAAUCAGACAGCACUGAGCCUCUUUGUUGUCAUUUUUUUCAACCUUGGUGCCAAUCAUAAGUCCGGUAUUAAUUUAAUCAUGAUAUGAUCUUGAUUCAUUGAUUACAAUAUAGUUUAUUUGUGGUAGAAUUUUGGGAAAAUUAAUAUAAAAAAUAUGUGAGGAGGAAUCUUUUAUGGAUGGUUCAGGGAGAAGAGGCAAAUGAAGAUGUCCCAGAAAUGAAUUGGUGAUCAAAUAAUCCAAGAAAAAAAGCAUCAAAUCUAUGAUAUGUAUAAUGAAAGAUGUAUUUAAGUAAAUAAAUAAGCUCGUGUUAGGCAUGAACCCUUCCCAAAACCAAGGAGACACGCAUUAGCCUAUUUUAUGUGCUUCACUUGCUGUAUAUUAGUAGGUGUAUGAAUAGAUUAAUCUUUCUGAAGAAAAAAAAAAAAGAAAGAGAAGAAGACUUGAGUGCUCCUUUUUAAAUGACUUUCCCUUUGGAUAUCGUUAUAUCAACAAGGACUAGCUGACAGCAGCCUGUUGCUUACUCGAUUGGAAUUAUGGAGCUUGCAUGCAAUGAGCUGGUGAUUCAUAUUUCACAGGUCUGAUGUGGAUGAACUUUUUUCUUUCUUUUCUUUUAAUAAAUGAUAAGAAUAUCUCACUUAUAAAACAAAAAGAGAAAAUUAGACUAUGCGUGGAAACUAUUCUCAACAAUAAUUUUUUGUUUUUUAAACAUAAAAAAAAAAAUAUGAAAACACAUUUGCCUGUAAUUAUUUCUAAAAUAGGUUACUGAUGAUAUCUUUUAAUUAUUUUUGGUUAAUUUUAUUUUUUAUUUAGAGCUAUUUUUAAAUGUAAUUUUAGAAAUAUGAAAAAUGAUUAAAAUAUAUAAAAGGGUACAUAAAAGAAUAUUUUGAAAACAUAGAAAAUAAAUUGACAAUAUUUAAAAUUACCAAAGAAGCUUUUAUUAUACCAUCGUAAAAUUAUUUUUGAUAAUUAAUCUCAAAAACCAUCUUUUUAUAACUAUUUUGAAAAAUAUUCUCUAAUUAACAAACCUUAUGCUUUUAAGGAGGAUAAGGUAAAAUUUUAAUAAAAAAUAUAAAAUAUGAAUAUUAAUAUUUUAGUAAAGUUAUAAAUUAUAUUUUUUUUAUUAAAAAUAAAUAUUUUUUUUAGAAAAUGAUAAUAGUUAAUAAUAUCUUAUUUAAACUGAAUUAUGAAAAUAAGUAUAAUUUAUUUUUCAAAAUAAGCAAUAAAUUAAUCAAGUUUUGAUCACGUACACAUGUUUAUUCCCUAGUUACAAGUAUUCUGAACCAGUUCAAUCCCACAAAAUUUUUAUAAUAAUUAGCAUAAUUUUUUAGUUUUAAUUUAUUUUUAAAAUAAAAGCAUGGAACUAGAUUGAAUCUUUCUUGGGAAUCCCUAGCAAUGCUGGAGGCUGUGGAGUGGCGGGAAAUCAGGGUCAAUUUCAAUCAAACGUGUAUCUCUUUGCAUGUUUAAAAAAAAAAAAAAAAACCACUUAGUCAUUAAUUGUUACAAGCUGUCCAUAUACUAUUCCACCACUUAUCCUGACGGAAUACUUAAAUUAAAUCCUACGUCAUCAUGUUCAACAUGUCUCUACCACUUUCUAAUUGGUAGCCACAAGUUUUCAAUUCCAUUUAUUAAUAAUAAAUUGAAAACAAAAUCAAACUUUCAAAUACUCGCAACAACGUAUGUGAUUUUUUUUCAUCAAAUAAAUCCAUAAAAAGAAUAGUCUCAUUACUAUUAUUUUUUAUUAAAAGAAAAAAAAAAUUCUCGAUAAAAAAUUCAAUUAACUAUUUUCUGGACACCCAAAGCGUUACACCAAGGGGAAAAGAAAAGGAUCAUACAAGUUAAAGUUAAUUAAUUUGACAAAAAAAAAUCAAAUUUGUUUCAUCAUCUCCCAUUAUUAUUUCUAGGAAGAUGUGGUGUGGUGUGACGUAGAACUAAUUAGCUCUUAACAAACAAAUUGAGCAAAAAAUAAUAUCCAAAUUAUGUCCUAUAUAUACCAGUUUAGGCUAGGGGUGUAUAGAGUAGAGAGAUAUCUAGUAGUACUCCCUCUGCCUAUCUCAUUCUCCUCCUAAGUCCUAACAAAUAACAAUGGCCGGGAACGAGGUGGUCCUUCAAAUGGAGGAGCACCGGAAAGUAGUCGCUGAUCAGUUUGGAAAACCUGCGGAUGGCAGUGAUCAUAUGAAAGCCUUGGCUGACUUAAAAUCCAAAUUUCGUCGACUAGAAAAUGAAGAGGAAUCUGAAUCUCCAUUAUCAUCAAGUGUAAAGCCACAACGUCCCUUAUCAUCAAGUGUAAAGCCACAAUGUCCCAUGGUUCCAAAGAGGUUGCGACCAGAUGUCAAGGGUGCUGAAGACUACUACUAUGCGCCAAAACUCAUUUCUUUGGGUCCUUACCACCAUGGCAAGCCCCACCUCAAGGAUGGAGAAACGCUCAAGCUUAAAUUGGCAGAAGCCUACAUCCAAGAAUGUGAGCCAACAGUGGAUGAAAUUUACAACACAAUUAGCGAUAGCAUUAGUGAGCUGAGGGGCUGUUAUGAUGCGGAGUCGACAAAGAAAUAUAAGGAUGACGAAUUAACCAUCAUGAUGCUGGUGGACGGGUGUGCUCUACUCUGUUACAUUUUAUGCGUUUGCUUAGGUUAUGGCCAUGAAGAUUUCAAUAUCAGAUAUCAGGAUAUAAGCCUUCUGCACCAGGAUGCGUUGCUGCUGGAAAACCAACUUCCCUAUCAAUUACUCCUUGAGCUGAUGAAGAUGGUGGACCCAGGAUCAGCCAAUGAUUUUUGGACGGCCAUGUUCCAGGAAUUCUUCGGCAUCAGCGACGAGUCAAUAUUUCAGGAAUUUAUCGGUAUGAAGAAGAAGGAGUCAUUCCUGCAAAAAAUGAAGAAUUAUUGCCCCCGCCUAUUCCUCCCAAUCAACCAAAUUAUUGACCCCAAAUCGAAGCCGCAAAGUCCUAAUAACGAGUCAAAGCCUUGUCAUCAUCUCCUCGAUCUCUUCCGAAGAAAUUUCCUAGGCGAUGAACGUUCCGGCAGCCCAACGCACCCAGAAAAUGAAAAUUUGGAAGGUCCUUCGUCAUCGGAAACUGAAAUUGGCCGGAGGCUGGGUAGAGCAUCAGUUAGAGAUGUGAAGGAGGUUAUGGCAUCAUUUAGAAAUGUGAAGGAGCUGAUGGACGCUGGAAUCCGCAUCAAGCGCAGUCCUACACGUCACUUGAGGGACAUUUCUUUCCGUUCAAAUGGGAUCACCGCAUGCCUGAGAAUUCCUCCCAUCACCAUUGAUAACUCAACCAAGGCUAUGUUCUUGAACUUGAUAGCCUAUGAAAUGAGCUCAGACGUCGACCAUGACUUCAUCUCUUACCUUCGCUUCCUUGAUUCCCUCAUUGAUCAUGCUGAUGACGUUAAGGAGCUGCAGUCCAUCGGGAUACUCCAAAACAAUCUAGGAACCCACGACGAAGUAGCUCAAUUCUUCAACACCGUGUCCGCCAACUUGGAAUCCAACUUUCAUGCUUACAAAGACGUGAGAGUGAAAAUUCGGAAGCACCUUCAGAGUCACUAUAACAGCAAACUGACAAUGUGGAUGACACAAUGCCUGGACACCUAUUUCGGUAGCCCCUGGACUAUCAUAGCUUGGGUUGGUGCAGCUUUGGCCCUAUUCCUUACUUUCGUCCAGACUUACUUCUCAGUCUUCCCUCAUUGAUGCAUGCCUGCCCUCUUUUCAACUAUCACCGUCUCAAUUAAGGUAAUAUCCACUCCAAAUUUCCUUGUUCUUCUUGCUAUCUGCAUUUUACCUAGUCCAUGUAAAUUAAGCAAAGACUCAUUGGCUUCAUGCGCUUUUGACCUUACCUAUUUUGUGUUUUUGGUUUCAGCCUAUUUUCUACAUUGCUUUCCGUGCUUAAAUUAAGUAACGAAUGAAUAUGUAGUGUGACCUUAGUUUGGUGAUUUUGUGCUUUCGCAAGCAUGUGCUAUGCUUAUAUAUAUGCAUCAUCAGCAAUAUUAUGUUUGAUUUAAGUACGUAAAUAAAGAUAGAUAUAGGUGGAAUAUUUUUUUUUCUAUGUUUAUAUUCCUGUUAAUGUAUUAUAUAUAUGUUAGGUCUGGCAAUUUUUUAUCUCAUACCAUUUUUAAUUAAAUCAUUUUUAAACUAUAGUUACUAAGCCAAAAAUUAUAAUGCUCUAGAAAUAUAAUCAAUCUCAUUGUCGAAUUUUUCUAAACUAAUCUCAGAAUAAGCUCGAUAUCUCUAACAAUAUAUUAUUUAAGGCACAUAAUAUUCCAAAAAAAAUUCUGCAAAAGAAAAAGAAAUUUGUUGAGAAGUGGUUUAUUUUAGUUGAUCUCUUAUUAUAUUUAGGAAUAUGGACAAAAUGUUAUAUUUAGGAAUAUGAACAAAACAACAUUUUGUCCGAUAGAAAUUUACCCAUCAAUAUGAAUGGAUAGAAAUUUACCCAUCAACAUGAAUGGUAUGGAAAUUUGACUAAUGCUUGUAAGAUCGGAUUUGUAAAUAUUUGUGGGUGAGUUUCUUUUGACAACCGAUGGACAAAUUCAUGUCAUGUAAGACUUAUUUGACAACAUUCUAAAAUAAUGUUGCUAAAAAUAUUUAAGAAUAGUUCUGAAAAUAUGUUUUACCUGUUUUUAGGAAUAAAAUUCUAACUUAUUUUGAGAAUAUUCUUAAAAAAAAAAGAAAAAAAAAAAGAGAGAAUGUUGUUAAAACUUGUUAAGAAUAUUUUUAAAAAUAUGUUUUAUUUGUUUUUAGGAAUAAAAUUCCAUUUAAGAAGCCUAGUCCUUCGCAAAGGCAUGUGCCACCAUCUAUAAUGGAAGAAGUUCACACCUAUUUUUCAUUUUUUUUUUGUUCUUUUUUUAAAACACUUGCAUAGCUUCUGGAUUAAAGUUCUUAAAGAUUAUUUUCAAAAUUUGAUGUAAUAAUUUAAAAAAAAAUUACUAUAAAUAUAUAUAUAUAUAUAUAGAGUUACUAUUAUUUUUAAUUUUACAAAAUAAAAAACAAAAAAUGUACCUAAAGGAUACCUUAAUUUCAACUUAUUAACUAUAUGUAAAAUUAAAAGUAUUUUUCUCCUUUUCAACUUGUUACAUACUUCAGUGCUUGUAUAUUGCUUCCAUACCAUAUGAUAAGAUGUGGCUAAAAUUGAUCUUCAUGUCAAGAAUUGGAAGCCUUCAAUAUGUUGUAAUUGCUUAAAAGAUUUCGCUUUGAGUUAUGUUUCUUGUGGGGUGAUGGCAAAGAAAACCAACAAAUUAAUAGAAAAACUAUAAAUAUAAUUCAGAAUUAAGGAAAAAAGAAAUACAAUAUUGAAGGUGCAGUAGAAUAAAAAGGAGUGUGGGCAUGAAUGAUAUGUAAAAACUCACCCAAUAGAAUCCUUUAUGAAGUAAAUAUUUUCAUAUCAUACGAUCCAAUGUUAAUCCUUCAUAACCUAUGGAACUGUAGAACCUUGAGAGGAAAAAAGCCACUCACAAAUUAUGACACAAACAGAAACUAGGAACAGUGGAAGAAAAUUGAAAAACUGAUCUCCCUUUCCGAGUCCAGCAACAAAAUUAGUGUCCAACCUUAAAAUGGGCAUGUGUGGUAUUGACGAGAGAUGCUAAGAUGGAAAUCAUAACCAUAGUCAUGUUCUCUCUGUGUCUUUGUGUCUUUCUAACCCACUUUUUUUAAGAAAAUAAUAGACCAAGACUAUAAUUAUCAAUUAUGACUUUAUUGUUUAAUUUAUAUUCUUUAACAAUUUUUUUAUUUUUUUAAGAAUAAUUUGUUUUACUAUAAUGGUAGGUGAUGAAUUUAUUUUCUUAAUAAAAGGCCUCCCAAUAAGGCAAUAGUUUCAUGUUUUUUUUUUAUCCUCUGCUUUUGUUGCAACUCUUCUGCUUCCGACCUUUCAUUAACCUAAAUAUUAGAAGUUUCUAAUUCAGUCCAUUGCACUCCAGUUGUCUAAAUACGGAAGCUUCUUCCACGACCCAGUUGCACUUUGGAAAGUUAAGCUUAAGAUUUACGAAGUUUCUGAAAAUUACAGUUUAUUUAGUUUCUAAAAUCCAAUUAGCUAGAUAUUUUAUUUGAUUUCUUUUUAUAUUUAAGUAGUUGAGUUUUGGAAAGUUUUUAUAUUUUAUUAAUAGAAAAAAAAAAUUUAUAUUUUUUAUUAUUAGGAAUUUCUAUUUUGUUAAAUUGUAAGUAUCUAUCUCAAUAAGAGAUUAUUAAUAUUCGAAUGAAAGUGAUGAAAGAUAGUAAAUAUUUUAAUGCUCCUCAAUUAUAUUUUAAUGUUAUUUUUUUACAUGAGGGUUAAUUCAAUUUUAAUUUCAACAUGUAAUAUGUUAAAAAUAUUAUAAAAUAGAACUAUAAAGGAGUAUUUACUUAUUUUAUAAUAUUUUCAAUCUACAAUUUUCAAAAAUCAAUAUUUAAAAAAGGUAUUAAAACAUCCCUUCUCUUCAAUAUAAAAGCAUUAUUGUAACAUAUUGUGGACCCCGCAUUUUGCCCAAUGCGUUCCCACUCGAUGACAAAACUCGCUUUCUAUUUAUUUUGUGAAAAAUAUGAUUUUUUUCAAAAGACUUAGAGUCGCCACUUAUUUUUGUUUUAUUUUUAAAGGAAAAACAAAAUAAGAAAGAAAAACCCUAAAUGUGAUUCCUUAUUUGGAAAAAAUAGGUCUGUGAAAAAUCACGUCGGGUCCGAGGGUCAGGUUACUUAUUGGAAAAGUACGGUGGUGAGCCAUAACACCCCUCUAAGUCCAUAAAAACGGGUCUCUACUAAUAAAAUGAAGCAAACAUGACAAUUGGUAAGGAAAUCAAUGGAUACAAAAGUGAUCACAAAUUAAAAGUAAUCAUGAUAAUGAAUAAAUGAACGAAGUGAGAGCGAGAGUGUACCUUGGCAGCAGGUAAUAAAGCGUUAUUAUGAAACAAAGUUAGUGCACAAUAACAAAUACAAAAUAUAUCACAUGCAUGUCAAAUAUUAGAACAAAAAAAAAAAAAAUAUUCAUUAGGCAUAGCAAUUAACAAUCAGAAGAGAAAUCUCAUAUGUAGGGUCCCCCACCAAAGCCCAAUUUAUCUUGCAUGCAUUGGUCUCACAAAUUUUAUUAUUUCGAAAUUAUGAAAAAUUCAUUCUUACUUAUGAAAAAUCAAAAGAAACAGAAGAUUAUUUGAAAACCGGAGUGGAAUUAAAACUGUUCAAAAUUUGUUUGAAAAUUGGAGUCUCGAAAAUUAUUUGAAAAUUGGAGUCUUGGGAAUUAAAUUUAAGAAUUGGAAUUUUGGAAAUUAAAUUUGAAAGAAAUUGGAAUUUUUUAAAAUUAUUUAAGAAUUAGAGUUUUUAAAAUUAUAUUAAGGAAUUGGAACUUUAGAAAUUAAAUUUGAAAGAAAUUAGCAAAUUAUUUGAGAAUUAGAGUUAUGAAAAUUAAAUUAUGAAAAUUGGAAUCUUGGAAAUUAUUUGAAGAUGGAAAAAAUAAACAAAAUAAUAAUAGUAAUAAUAAAUAAAUAAAUAAAUAAAUGUGAAAAUUGGAAUUUCGGAAAUUGGAAAUUAAAUUCGGAAAUUGAAAAAUUGGAAUUUCAAAAAUUGAGAAUUAAAAUUGAAAAUCAGAAUUUUGAAGAAUUAUUUACAAAUGGAAUUUUAAAAAUAAAUUAAUUAAUUAAAUAAUGAUAAUAACGAAGAUAACAAUGAUUAAAUAAAUAAAUUUGAAAAUUAGAAUUUUGGAAAUUGGAAAUUAAAUUCGAAAAUUAGAAAAUUGGAAUUUAGGAAAUUCGGAAUUGAAUUUGGAAAUCGGAAUUUUGAAGAAUUAUUUAAAAAUAGAAUUUUAAAAAUAAAUUAAAUAAUGAUAAUAACGAAUAUGAUAAUGAUUAAAUAAAUAAAUAUGAAAAUUAGAAUUUUAGAAAUUGGAAAUUAAAUUCGGAAAAUUGUAAUUUAGGAAAUUGGAAAUUGAAUUUGGGAAUCGAAAUUUUGAAGAAUUAUUUAAAGAUGAAAUUUUAAAAAUAAAUAAAUUAAUUAAUUAAAUAAUGAUAAUAACGAAGAUAGCAAUGAUUAAAUAAAUAAAUUUGAAAAUUAGAAUUUUGGAAAUUGGAAAUUAAAUUCGGAAAUUGAAAAAUUGGAAUUUUGGAAAUUGGGAAUUGAAUUUGGAAAUCGGAAUUUUGAAGAAUUAUUUAAAGAUGAAAUUUUUGAAAACUUGAUUUAAAAGGAGAUGGAGUUUCAAAAAUUUAUUUGAAGGUGUCAUUUUAAAAAUUAAAUUUAGAAUUGUGGAAUUUUUGGAAGAUUAAAAUUAAAAUUUUGAAUUUGGGAAAAUUAAAUUUAAAGUUAGAGUUUUAGAAAAUUAUUUCAAGAAUUGAAUUUUGAAGAAUUAAAUUUAAAAUAUUGAAGUUUUGGAAAAUUGAACUUAAGAUCUGAAAUUUCGUAAACUAAAUUUAAAAAUCAAAUUUUACAAGAUUAUUUCGAAAAGGGUACUUAUAUAUAUAUAUAUAUAUAUAUAUUAAUAAAAUAAUAAAUAAAUAGAUAAAUAAAAAUAAAUAAAUAAAGCAAAUAAAAUGAAUGAAUAAAUGAAUAAAUUUGAAACUUUGGGAUUUUAGAAGAAUUAUUUGAUAACAGAAUUUAAAAAAAAAAUGAAAUUUUUAACAUGAAAAGUGGAAUUACGAAGAUGGCACGUGAAAGAAAAGAUAAAAAACUAAUAAUAAUUCACCAUGAGGCCACUGGACCCAUGCCACUAAUAAAAAAAAAACUCAUGCCUUUGACUUUUCAUUCACCAAUUGUUUAAACAAUUUCCUACUGUCAAUGAACCACCAAGAAGUGGAGUAAUGAAGCCCCACUUCUCCACGAAAAAAAAAAAAACACCAGUAUGUAUCUGACUAGUGAUGACAAACUGUGGUGGCGAACAAGGAUAGAAGACGAUGUAGAGUUUGGAAGGCCCCAAAUCACCACUUGGGAGACUUUGAAGAAGGAAUUGAAGGAUCAGUUCCUUCCCACCAACAUUGCUUGGGUGGCCAAAGAAGCGUUGAAAAGGGUCAAACACACCGGAUCUGUAAGGGACUACGUCAAGGAAUUCAGUUCCUUGAUGCUGGACAUAAAGAACAUGUCAGAUGAGGACAAGCUCUUCAAUUUCAUGUCUAGAUUGCAAGGGUGGGCUCAAACGGAACUUAGGAGGCAAGAGAUUCGUGAUCUCCCUGUUGCCAUGGUUGCAGCAGAUUGCCUGGUGGACUACAAGAUGGGUGGCGCCAUCUCCACCAUGUAGAGACCUAAGUCAGAAGGAGGUAAGAAGGCUAAGGUUGAGGGCAAGACUUCUAAGAAAUCUGGGUGGAAGAAACAGAACAAGAAGCCUGUUGUAGAGGGAAAACCAGUGGAAAAGACCAUAAAGUUUGUGCAGCAGACCACCCGGAUGGUAGGAUGUUUCAUCUGCAAUGGCCCUCAUCGAGCCAGAGACUGCCCCAAAAGAAAGAAACUCUCAGCCCUUGUGACUGUAGACGACAAGGGAGAGUCUGACUUAGAGACUCCUCUUAGAGUCAACCCACUGCAACUCCUGAACGUGAUUAAUGGUGAGACUCCAGUCCAUAAGUCCCUAAUGCAUGUCCAUGCAGUUGUAAAUGGUGUGCAGGUGAAGGCCUUGGUGGACAGUAGUGCCACGCACAACUUCGUGGCCACCAGAGAAGCAACCAGGUUGGGAUUGAAGUUGGAAGAGGAUACUAAUUAGAUCAAGGCAGUCAAUAGCAAAGCCCAGAAAAUCCAAGGGGUAGCAAAGAAUGUCCCCAUGCAAAUUAGUGACCGGAAGGGCACAUGCAACCUACUUUGUGUACCCUUGGACGACUUCAACUUGAUCAUCGGUGUAGAUUUCCUCUUGAGGGCUAAGGUGGCCUUGAUCCCACAUCUUGGUGGGCUGGUGGUGUUAGAAGAAAAGCAGUCUUAUUUCAUGAAGGCCUUGAGGGUGAAGGAUGGUGGCAAGGGUUAACAUGAGAUGCUGUCUACUAUCCAUUUGAAGAAGGGAUUGAAGAGGGGUCAGGAGACUUAUGUUACAACCUUGAUCGAGAUCAAGGAGAGAUAGUCUGUGGAAGUCCCUGAUUCAGUGGUCAAAAUCCUUAAGGAGUUCAGAGAUGUGAUGUCUGCAGAACUCCCCAAAGAAAUGCCACCUAGGCGGCCUAUUGACCACAAGAUUGAAUUGCUACCUGGAACAAAGGCCCCGGCUUAAGCUCCUUACAGGAUGCCUCCUGCGGAGUUGUUGGUGUUACGUAAGUAAUUGAAGGAACUGUUGGAUGCAGGCCUGAUCCAGCCCUCAAGGGCCCCAUAUGGUGCACCAAUGAUGUUCCAAAAGAAGCAUGAUGGCUCUCUCCGCAUGUGUGUAGAUUAUAGAGCUCUCAACAAGGUGACCAUCAAGAACAAGUACCCGAUCCCCUUGGCUGCCGAGCUGUUUGACAGAUUGUCAAAAGCCUCUUACUUCACCAAGUUGGACCUAAGAUCGACUACUGGCAAGUGCGAAUUGCAGUAAGAGAUGAGAAGAAUACCACCUGUGUAACUCGGUAUGGAUCAUACGAGUUUCUGGUAAUGCCAUUUNNNNNNNNNNNNNNNNNNNNNNNNNNNNNNNNNNNNNNNNNNNNNNNNNNNNNNNNNNNNNNNNNNNNNNNNNNNNNNNNNNNNNNNNNNNNNNNNNNNNUAAUGCCCCUGCUACAUUCUGCAAUUUGAUGAAUGAUGUUCUGUUUGAUUACUUAGAUGCAUUUGUGGUAGUGUAUCUAGAUGAUAUUGUGGUUUACAGUAAGACUCUAACAGAACAUGAGAAACACUUGAGAUUGGUGUUUCAGAGAUUGAGGGAGAACAUGCUUUAUGUAAAGCCAAAGAAAUGUGAGUUUGCUCAGGAGGAUAUCACAUUUCUAGGACACAAGAUCAGUGCAGGUCUGAUCAAGAUGGAUAAAGGCAAGGUGCAGGCUAUUAUGGAGUGGCCAGUCCUUAGCAAAGUGACUGAGUUGCGGUCCUUCCUUGGCUUGGCCAAUUACUACAGAAGGUUCAUUAAGGGGCAUUCAAAGAGGGUGUCUCCCCUUACUGACCUAUUGAAGAAGGACAACCAGUGGAGUGGAGCAUGUAGUGUCAGAUGGCCUUUGAAGGCUUGAAGGAAGCCAUCUCCACUGAGCUUGUGCUACGUUUGCCAGACUUAGACUUACCCUUUGAAGUCCAGACAAAUGCCUCAAAUAGAGCUUUGGGUGGAGUCUUGGUGCAAGAAGGGCACCCUAUGGCAUUUGAAAGUAGGAAGUUGAAUAAUGUUGAGCAGAGGUACUCCACUCAUGAGAAGGGGAUGAUAAUUGUGGUUCACUGCCUGCAGCAGUGGAGACACUACUUAUUGGGAAGCAUUUUUACAGUGGUCACUGAUAAUGUGGCCAACACCUUCUUCAAAACUCAAAAGAAGCUGAGUCCCAGACAAACACGAUGGUAGGAGUUCCUGGCCAACUUCAAAUUUGAAUGGCUGCAUCGACCAGGAAGACAUAACACUGUGGCUGAUGGCUUCAGUAGGAAAGAGGUGAUUGCCUACAUCAUGGCCCUCUCAGAAGUCAUCUUUGACUUCAAUAAGAAAAUCAAGCAAGUUGCAGAGUAGGAUGCUGCAUAUGGCAGGUUGAAGCGGCAAGUUAAGGAGGGUGUGAUAAGGAGGUAUUGGCUAGAGGGAGACCUCCUUGUGGCAAAAAGAGGAAGAUGGUAUGUUCCUGCAGGCGGCCUGAGAAAUGAAUUAUUGCAGAAAACUCAUGACGCAAAGUGGGCAGGUCAUUCCGGUGAAGAGAAGACUCUGGCACUGCUAGCCAUAUCCUACUAUUGACCUAAGAUGGGUGAGGAUGUCCAGGCAUAUGUGAAAUCCUAUCUGGUUUGUCAGAUGGACAAGACCAAGAUGAAGAAGGUUGUAGGGUUGCUACAACCCCUCUCCAUUCCAGAGAAACCUUAGGAGAGCAUUUCCAUGGAUUUCAUCACUGGAUUUCCAAAGGUUUGUGACUUUAAAUCUAUCUUUGUUGUUGUAGAUAGAUUCUUUAAGUAUGUUGUGUUUAUACCUGCCUCUGAUGCUUGCUCUACGGAGGAAGCGACUAAGUUGUUUUUCAGUAAUGUUGUCAAGCACUUUGGGUUGCCUAGGGACAUAGUCAAUGAUCGAGAUGCACGGUUCAUAGGCCGAUUUUGGGUUGAGUUGUUCAAACUCUUGGGUUCAUAGUUGAAGUUUUCUACAGCCAACUACCCUCAUACUGUCGGUACUCGCACGGAUUCUACCAUUUCCCGGUAUUCGCCGGGAUUUUACGAUUUUUCGUUAUUCGCUCGGAUUCUACCAUUUUCAUUUAGUCACACUGAUUCAACCCUUUUCCGGUACUCGCCCGAACAGUUUUUCGGUACUCGCACGGAUUCUACCAUUUCCCGGUAUUCGUUGGGAUUUUACGAUUUUUCGGUAUUCGCCCGGAUUCUACCAUUUUCAUUCAGUCACACUGAUUCAACCCUUUUCCGAUACUCGCCCGGAGAGUUUUUCGGUAUUCGCACGGAUUCUACCAUUUCCCGGUAUUCGCCGGGAUUUUACGAUUUUUCGGUAUUCGCUCGGAUUCUACCAUUGUCAUUUAGUCACACUGAUUGAACCCUUAUCCGGUACUCGCCUGGAGAGUUUUUCGAUACUCGCACGGAUUCUACCAUUUCCCAGUAUUCGGUUGGAUUUUACGAUUUUUCGGUAUUCGCUCGGAUUCUACCAUUUUCAUUUAGUCACACUGAUUCAACCCUUUUUCGGUACUCGCCCGAACAGUUUUUCAGUAGUCGCACGGAUUCUACCAUUUCCUGGUAUUCGUUGGGAUUUUACGAUUUUUCGGUAUUCGCUCGGAUUCUACCAUUGUCAUUUAGUCACACUGAUUGAACCCUUAUCCGGUACUCGCCUGAAGAGUUUUUCGAUACUCGCACGGAUUCUACCAUUUCCCGGUAUUCGGUUGGAUUUUACNNNNNNNNNNNNNNNNNNNNNNNNNNNNNNNNNNNNNNNNNNNNNNNNNNNNNNNNNNNNNNNNNNNNNNNNNNNNNNNNNNNNNNNNNNNNNNNNNNNNCAUGACGCAAAGUGGGCAGGUCAUUCCGGUGAAGAGAAGACUCUGGCACUGCUAGCCAUAUCCUACUAUUGACCUAAGAUGGGUGAGGAUGUCCAGGCAUAUGUGAAAUCCUAUCUGGUUUGUCAGAUGGACAAGACCAAGAUGAAGAAGGUUGUAGGGUUGCUACAACCCCUCUCCAUUCCAGAGAAACCUUAGGAGAGCAUUUCCAUGGAUUUCAUCACUGGAUUUCCAAAGGUUUGUGACUUUAAAUCUAUCUUUGUUGUUGUAGAUAGAUUCUUUAAGUAUGUUGUGUUUAUACCUGCCUCUGAUGCUUGCUCUACGGAGGAAGCGACUAAGUUGUUUUUCAGUAAUGUUGUCAAGCACUUUGGGUUGCCUAGGGACAUAGUCAAUGAUCGAGAUGCACGGUUCAUAGGCCGAUUUUGGGUUGAGUUGUUCAAACUCUUGGGUUCAUAGUUGAAGUUUUCUACAGCCAACUACCCUCAUACUGAUGGGCAGACUGAGAGAAUCAACGCCUUGCUGGAAGAAUACCUCAAGCAUUAUGUGACAGCAAUACAAAAGAAUUGGGUGGAUUUGUUAGAUACUGCCUAGUUGUGUUAUAAUCUGCAGAGGAGCUCAACAACAAGGAUGAGUCCCUUUGAGCUGGCUAUUGGGGUACAGCCACAGAUGCCUUUGGAGGUAGCUAAGCAAAAAGCAGAAGGAGGUAGUCCUGCAGCUUACAAGAUGGCUCAAUCCCGGCAUGAGAUGUUUGAUGAAGCCCGGGACAGUCUAGAGAAGGCAGUUAGAUGAAUGAAGAAGUAUGCGGAUCAUGACCGCAAAUCCUUGGAAUUUUAGGUUGGGGACAAGGUCCUCUUGAAAUUGACUCAUAAGAUAUGGAAGAAAAUCAGUAGCAAGACAAGGCAGAGGAGUCUAAUUCCUAAGUAUGAUGGACCAUUCGAGGUGAUAAAACGAGUUGGGCAGAUGACCUACAUGUUGAAGCUGCCUGAGAGGCUCAAGCUUCACCUAACUUUCCAUGUUAGCUUUCUAAAUCUUUACCAUGAGGAUCUGGAUGUAGAGAGAGUGCAAAUAAAGCGGGCCCUUCUCUUGGUCAUGAAGCAGUUUGAUCGAGAGAUAGAGAAAAUCUUAAAUCAUAGGACCAUGGGACAUAGCAGAAAGAACCGACGAACUGAUUUCUUGGUUUAGUGGAAGUGGACUUCAAAAGUAGAAGCUACAUGGGAGAGGAAUGUUACCUUAUGGCAAUUUGAGACGGCGGUCCAAACAUAUUGGUAGACUAAGUCGACGAGGGUGUCAACUUCAAUAGGCGGGGGUGGGUUUGUCAGCCCCUUAACCACUUGACUCUACCAUGGAGGAAAAGGCCUCAUGGGUAAACCUUGCACCCAUGAGAGCCUAGACGGAGAAAGCAAGGAAGACUUAGAGGUUUGGUGGUUCAAACUCCAAGAGCUAAGUGAGAAGGCCAUGUGUGAGCUAGACACGCACCGUGGACGAGCCUGACGCACACCGUGCGUGCAUCGCGAGCGAGUCAAACAAGCACCGCGUGCGCAUUAGAUGGGCACCGCGUGCACACUAGAUGGGCAUCGCGCGCGCACCAAUCUUAGGUAGUGCAGAUGAAGGCUGAAGGCUACUUUUGGAAUUUAAUUUAUAUUUAUUUAAUAUUCCAUUAUGUCUCAUCAGGCAUAUUAAUGUCUCCUCCAGAAACAAUGAAAACGACUUGUAUUACUCUUUAGGGGGGGGGGGGGGGGGGGGGGGGGGGGGGGGAGGAGGUAAGCAACUCAAAAAGGGAAGCACCAAGGGAAAGCCUUGACCGCACCAAGAGGGCACCAUGACACGACCUUGGGCGUGCCUAGGACACACGGAUAGGACUCGAGCACGCACACAUGGGCUCCACGACAUGUGUGGUGUGCACCACGUGGCCACAACGGCACGGGGCCUGGUGCGGCCUACCUCCUCCUCGUGUAGGCAUGAGGACGCCUAAACCUUGUGCAGUGAGCCAGUUGAGGAAGUCAUGGGCGCAAUACCAUGGCUUGAUGGGGCAUUAAACAACAAUUGACUAGCACCCAUGAUGCCUACGUACAGCACAAGGGCGCAAUGCCCUGUGCACUAAGAGGGAUCAGUCAUGAACGCAAUGUCAUGGCUCGUUGCUAUGAAGUUGGACCUCACAUUGGAAGCAAGCAACAUGCCCAAGCCAUGGGCACCUAAACAUGACAUGGGCUCACAUAUCAGUGUGGGGAAGACACACUGAUGCACCAGACACUUGGUCAGCUGGUUGGUGCACGUUGCCUAGUUCUGAAGGCCUUGAUCAAAGACACGCUGGUGGGCACCAGGUCAUAAGAGGCACCUUGCGGGAAAGGAGGCAACUUGUUAAGGGGACUCUUCAGCAGCUUGGUGAGAAAGGCUUGAGGAGAUGGCAAUGCAACAAGCUAGUGGCAGCUAGUUGGGAUAGCAAGUGAUCAAGUCAAGCAGCCAAUUGACUUGCAGUUGGCUGAGGUGUUGAUGGCUGGUGCAAGUGGGUGGUUCACGAGCAGGCCACUAUCUGGGUGGUGGGUGGUUAUGCAGGACAGUUAUGGGCGCAUUUGGCCAAUUGCAUAACCACUAGAUUGGCUUCAACUUUUAAAUUUGGUAAUUCAAAAAUGUAACUGCAGAAUGAGUCUUUUAAAAGGGCUCCUGCAUCCUUGAAAUAGAGAGUGAGAGAUUGGGAUAGGGUUCUCUUAAUGCUUGGGGUGUGAAGUAUUGUACUAUGACUCAGGGGAAACAAUUUUGUCUUGUAGAGUGAAUUAAUACAAGUUGGGAAAGGUUUCCUGUAAAUCGUUGGUGUCCCUGUUACUGUGCUUUUACUUUGCUUUUACUCUAUUUUUGAAAAGGCUGGGAAGGAAGGUUGGCUAAGGAAGGGUCCUUAGCACCGCACACUCGUGAAAAAUUUAGUGUGAUCUUCAGGGGGGUGUAACAGUGAGUAUAGUGUCGGGUUUGAGCAUCUCCAAGCAUUUCAAUAUGGUUCAAAUGGCUCUCAAACAUCCAGAAAUUCCCAACAGUAUGAAAAAUGGCUCUCAUGGUGCUCUCCCAGAAACACCUCCACCCAAGAUGGCCAACCUCAAACGUAAUGCCCAACACUCUAAAAUAUACCAAAAGCAGAGGAGAAAGUAAACAAAAGCAAAGCAUGCACAAACGUAAAUGAUACCGUUAAACCUAGCUCCAUUUCAUAAAGAUCAAUGGGCUGGAUAUAGGCGGAACCAAAAGAAAGCAAGAACGUGAUCUUCAAAACCUUAUUCAAGCAUCAAGAUGAACCCAAAAUUGGCGGGAAAUGAAAUAGAACAAACCGAAAUGGGAAAUGCAAAGCAUGCUAAAAUCAUACCUGACCAAAACGACAGGCUUUUCCUCUGCUCAAACUCGGAAUGUCCCUUUCUCCUAUCUUUCUUAGCUAGCUCUGCUACCCUUCCUCCAUGUCUCCUAUCAGCUGGGUUUUUCUUAUUUUCUCAGCCCGCUUCAUAACCACCAGAAAAACGAAAAAAAAUCUCUUCUUACCUCCUUCCAGCUUACUUCUCCUCCAAGCUAUAUCCAUAUCCCAUCUCAUUUGGCAACCCAAUAGCUCACCCAUCAGUCCUCUUUGGCUGCCCCAAAAACAGCUCACUUCUAAGGUAGUCAGAAAAAGAAAAAAAGAAGAAAGAAGGAAAAAAAAAAUGCUUCCAUCCGAGGGGGUCUACACAUAUACAUUUUGUUCUAAUUUUCUAAUAGUUGUGCACAGUUGAAGGGAAAACAAUUUGAUUUUCUAAUUAAUAUUACUUUUAUAAAUACUUUAAUUACUUUUAUAAAAUUGAUUCAUAAUGAUUUUAUUAUUUCUUUGGAACUCAUAAAAUAAAUCUAAUUACGACAGAAAAAGAAAAAGAGAAAAGUGAGUUUUGAUCACUAAUUUGAAAAAUACAAAAAUAAAAAACUUCAGCUUUUAUAAAUCAUUUGUAUCUUCAUUUAUUUAAAAUUAUUUUAAAAUACAUGCACUUUUUUAUAACUCAAAUAAUUAUUUCCUAAAAUGACCUUAUUAUUUAUGAUGUUAAUAAUAUCAUUUUUUUUUAACCAUGAGAACCUAUUUGAGAUUAAUAAAAUGAGAAAUUUUAAAAAUUUUAAAUACAAUUAAAACUAAAAAAACUUUAAAGUUAAAAAUAUAAAAAUAAAAUAUUAUAUUUUUUUAUUAUAUUUUUGGUUUUUAAUUGUAUUUAAUUUUUAUGUAUUUUAGUUUUAAUUAUAUUUUUAAAUUUUAUAAAUUUCUUAUGUUAUCCUUAAUUGAUGUCAACUAAUAAAAUUUAUAUUCAAUUUUAUUUAUUUUUUUUAAAUGAGAAGAUGUGGGGGUUUAUCUAAUACAAAACAUAAAAUCAUAUUAACUAGGGGAUUAACAAGAUUUUAUUUAUUACUUGAUGAUGUUGGAAAAUUUUUCCACGAUGAUUUGUAUCUUAUGUUAUAUAAUAAAAUUUUAUAAUAUAUUUAUUUAUAAAAUAUUUUUAUCAAAUUAAAAUAAUAAAUUUGGAUAAAUUCAUUUAAUAUUAUCAAAUAAAAAUGUAUUUUAGGAAAUAAUUAUUUAACUUAUGAAAAAGUGUAUAUAUUUUAAAAAAAAUUAAAUGGAUAAAGAUAAAAUUGAUUUAUAAAAUUUAAUUUUUUUUUUCUAUAUUUUUUCAAAUUAGGUUAAAACCCACUUUUUCUCAAAAAAAUAAUAGACCAAAUCUAUAAUUAUCAAUUACAAACCUACAAUUAUCAAUUAUGACUUUAUUGUUUAAUUUAUAUUCUUUAACGAAUUUUUAAAAUUUUUAAGAAUAAUUUGUAAUUCAAAAAAUUGGUCCAUUUAAUUACAAAUUAAAUAAAAAAUUCCAUAAUAUGUUGUUAUCCUUGUAUGUAAUAAAAAACUCGGAUUAUUUAUAUGUUAUAAAAGUUAAAAUUUAUUUAUUUUUAAAUUAAUUUUAUAUAAAAUAUUAUUAAUUGUUAUUAUUUUUAAACAAUUAUUAUUCAUUUUUUAAAAAAAAUAAUUAUACUUUUACAAAAAUAUUAAUAUCCAUAUUUUUAUAAUAUAUAUUAAAAUAGUAUAUUUUUAUGAAAAAAAAAAUAAUUUUAUGACUUUAUUAUAAUAUUACUAUUCAUAUUUCACUAAAUUUAAUUUAUUUGUAACAACAAAAAAAACUAUUUUCAUUUUUAAUAAAACUUAAAUUAAAUCUAAUUAAUAUGGUAUAAAUAGAAUUUAUAACAUUUUUACAAAAUCAAAAUAGAAAAAAAAAAUUAAACCAAUUUAUUCAAAUAAACUUGUUUUUUCUUUUUUCUAAAUAUUUUUAAAAACAAUUUAUCUAAUACUCUUAUUUUUAUAAAAUAUUAAAAUAACAAUUUUUUUAUUUAAAAAAAAACAUGAAAAAAGCAUGGUCACAACAAACCUAAAAAUAAUUAUGAUUCUAUGUACUUUUUCAUUAAAUGUGCUAUUUUUUACCAUUCACGUGUUAUGCCUUACUGAUGUAGAUCAAAGUUACGCAUAAGAUUAAAAAUGAUUUUUGUACUGUUGCUAUUUUGACGGGUUUUUUUUUUUUCAAAUGAAACAUGCUUUUUGCCCUUUUUGCCCCCACUCUGAUUGAGGGUUUGGUUUAUUUCACUAGCACGGAGCCCUCUCCAUCUGCCAGCCUACCUGACAACUCUGAACCGCUCUUUAAGUCUUUGUUUUUCCUCUUUCAUCAAUGACACAAAUAACUCUCACAUCAGGCGUUUUAAUCUAUUACUGCCACAGGCCCACAAGCAUCAGACAAGGUAUUAAUAGAGGCUUCUCUUUGAUACACCUCAAUAACCAUCCAUGUAAGAUAUGUAUAUUAAACACUAUGAUUCAAUACAUUAUUAUAUACAAACCAGAUGAACCCAGUUACCCACAACCUAGCUUAUUAUAAUUUUUUUAUUUGAAUUAAAUUAAAUGAUUUCAUAAUAAUACUUUUUUUUAUUUUGAAAUAAUAGGUGUUGUGCAAUUUGUUUUACUUUAUUGGUAGGUUAUGAAUUAUUAUUAUUAAUAGUAAUAGUAAUAUAAUUCAAUUAAUAUUUUGUAGGAUACUCAAAAGCUUUAUAUGCACGUAACAAAAUAAAAAGACUUACGAAGACUUAAAAUUAAUGUAAUAUCUAUUCAAUUUACAUAAAUAAGUAUGAUUGUGUGAAAAAGGAGAUAAAUGAAAAAGGUAAAGAAGGUGAACAAUAAUAAAUUUGAAGGAUAUGGGAAAUAUUUGGUUAAAUUAAUAAAGAUAAAAUUGAUUCAUAAAAUUUAAGUUUUUUUUUUUAUAUUUUUUUAAAUUAGUGGGUCAAAACCCACUUUUUCUCAAAAAAUAAUAGAUCAAAACUAUAAUUAUCAAUUAUAACUUUAUUGUUUAAUUUAUAUUCUUUAACAAAUUUUUAAAAUUUUUAAGAAUAAUUUGUAAUUCAAAAAAUUGGUCCAUUUAAUUACAAAUUAAAUCAAAAUUUCCAUAAUAUGUUGUUGUCGUCGCAUGUAAUAAAAAGCUCGGAUUAUUUUAUAUGUUAUAAAAGUUAAAAUUUAUUUAUUUUUAAAUUAAAUUUAUAUAAAAUAUUAUUAAUUAUUAUUAUUUUUGAGCAAUUAUUAUUCCUUUUUAACAAAAAAUAUAUAUUUUUACAAAAAUAUUAAUAUCCAUAUUUUUAAAAUAUAUAUUAAAAUAGUAUAUGUUUUUAUGAAAAAUAUAAUUUUAUGACUUUAUUGUAAUAUUAUUAUUCAUAUUUUACUAAACACUAUUUAUGUUAAUUUAUUUGUUAUAACAAAAACUAUUUUCAUCUUUAAUAAAACUUAAAUUAAAUCUAAUUAAUAUGGUAUAAAUUGAAUUUAUAACAUUUUUACAAAAUCAAAAUAGAAAAAAAAAAUUAAAACCAAUUUAUUCAAAUAAACCUUUUUUCUUUUUUCUAAAUAUUUUUAAAAACAAUUUAUCUAACACUUAUUUUUAUAAAAUUUUAAAAAAACAAACAUGAAAAGAACAUGGUCACAACAAACCUAAAAUAAUGACGAGUCUGAACCGCUCUUUAAGUCUUUGUUUUUAUUUCACUCAGACGGAGCCCUCUCCAUUUGCCAGCCAGCCUGACAAGUCUGAACCGCUCUUUAAGUCUUUGUUUUUCCUCUUUCAUUAAUGACAAAAAUAACUCUCAUAUCAGGCGUUUUAAUCUAUUACUGCCACAAGCAUCAGACAAGGUAUUAUUAGAGGCUUCUCUUUGAUACACCUCAACAACCAUCCAUGUAAGAUAUGUAUAUUAAACACUAUGAUUCAAUACAUUAUUAUAUACAAACCAGAUGAACCCAGUUACCCACAACCUAGCUUAUUAUAAUUUUUUUUAUUUGAAUUAAAUUAAAAGAUUUCAUAAUAAUACUUUUUUUUUUUUUUUUGAAAUAAUAGGUGCUGUGCAAUUUGUUUUACUUUAUUGCUAGGUUAUGAAUUAUUAUUAUUAGUAGUAAUAGUAAUAUAAUUCAAUUAACAUUUUGUAGGAUACUCAAAAGGUUUAUAUGCGACAUAACGGAAUAAAAAGACUUACGAAGACUUAAAAUUAAUGUAAUAUCUAUUCAAUUUAUAUAGAUAAGUAUGAUUGUGUGAAAAAAGAGAUAAAUGAAAAAGGUAAAGAAGGUGAAAAAUAAUAAAUUUGAAGGAUAUGGGAAAUAUUUGGUUAAAUUUCAAACUAAUGGUAAAUAAGUAUUUUUAACCUCUAUACAGGGGGAAGUGAGUAAAAUUAUUGAAUGUAGCCAAAAAUAUAAAUAAGGUACUAGAGGCUUCUAAAUAAACGUGGAUAUGAGAAAAGGUAUAUUUAUAAAAAUUAAAUAAAAUUGUUGAAGAAACUAUUAAACUAUAAUCUAAUGCUUUACAAUCUUGUAUAAUGAGAUUAACCUAAAUUAUUAACGAAAUAUCUUAUUAUAUUUUUUAUUUAAAUUAAAUCAAAAAAAUUUGAUAAUAAUGAUUUCAUUUUUAUCUUAGGAGUAAUAGGUGUUCCUUGUGUUCUUUUGUGAUCUCUUGUGUCUAUAAUUAUAUUACUUUUUCUCACACACUCUCUUACUUGGUUAUUUGUUUGUCUUAUGUGUGCAUAUCAUAGGAUUGUUCAUUGGUGGAUGUUGUAUGGUAAUUGUAAUUUGUGCGAUUAAGGAUGAUGUUUAGUUUAGAUGAAUGUCCUUGACAAAUUUGUAAACUCCAUUUGAGAAUUUUAGGGGUUUAUGUAAUUUAUAUUUUGUCACAAGAUUGUCAAAAGGGGGAAAUUGUUAAUUAGUGCAUUAGGCUACUUAGUUUAAAUUAAAAAUUUUGUUCAAUCCAUCUUCACUUACAGACUUUUUUAGAUUAUUAUGUUUUACUAUUUAUUAAAAACUUAAGGUUAUUGCAUGAUCAAUUGGAAUAAUAUAAGUAUAGAGAUGUUCAAGAAAAGUUAAUUGGAAUCAAUUAUAGCAUGAAAUGAAUGUUAGGCUUUAAGCUAGUGAAAAAGGUUUUAAAAUUAAUUUGAAACUACUCAUGAGCCCGAGCUCAAGCAUCACUUUUAGUGUUCAAGCCAAAAUUCUAUAGGAUACUGAAUUUUUUUUUUUUGUCAUAUUUUUAGAGGUUUAUUGAAACAAAAAUUUAAAUUUCAUCUCUUGUUUAUUAUUUAAUACAAACUUUGAAAAUAAUUUAAGUAUUAGUUUUCCCACAUUCUAAACUCUUAAAAGUUCUCAUUCUUAGAUUUAUAAGAGAGAUUUGCAUCGCGAGAUGUACACUAAGGUCACAAUCAAGAUUUACAAACUAUUCGCGUUGCAUGAUUUGUUUUACUGUAAUGGUAGGUGAUGAAUUUAUUUUAGUUCACAUGUGAAAAUGAUGGGGCUAUAAAGAAAAAGAUACAAGUUAAAGUCCGACAAUUUUUUUUUAAUUGAGAUUCAUUUAUUUAUUUUUAAUUGAGAAAAAUAAAAUAUUAAUAUUAUUAGAAACUUUAUUUAUCAAUUUUUUUACUAUACAAUUUUCAUACAUCUAAUAUGUGAACUUUUUAAUAUCAUGGCAAAAGUGAAAAACAAAAAUAAAAUAUUUAAAAAAGAUUGAUCAAAUUACCAAACCAUCUUAUACUUAAAAAUAAGGCACUUAAAAAGACAAAUGACUCUUAGAAAGAGAAUUUGUAUUUUCAUCAAUUUAAGUUCUUUAUAUAUCUAUUUUAUUUGCACACUUACCUAAUUAUUUACAAUAUACUUCAAAUAAAUUUUAUUAUAUACCUUCUUUCACCUUCUUUCCUUGUUUUUUUUUUCUUUGGCAAAAAUAUUCUUCUCUCCAACUUUUUUGUUAUAAAAACAAAAUAAUAUUUGAGAUUAGUGUAAAGCUGAUUGUAAUAUUUUAAAUGUAUUUUUUAAUUGAAGUACUCAAUUAUAUUAGGUUUAUUUCAUAUAAAUAUAUUUUGAGUUUAUUAUUUAUAUAAUUUUUUUAUUAAUAUUUGUUAGAAAAAUAAUUAAUACUUAUUAAAGUUUUUUAAAGGCAACACUUACUAUUUUUUUUUUAAGAAAUACCGACCCUAAACUAAAAAGGGUAUAAUUGAAAUUCAUAAGGGAUCAAAAUUUCAAUUACAAAUUUGAUGACCGUUUUGAAUACUUGUCAACUAAUUUUAACUAUUUUGGAUAAUUUUUCCAUCGCCAAAUUGAAAGAAAGGCAAAUAAUUACAGAGAUUCGAAUGGAUCUCUAUUUGAAAUGCCCGCUUGCCCGCCCUUCAUUUAAGGACCUUUGGUUGGUUUUUCUAUGGGUGACGGGGGAAGAGAGAAACAAGAAACCAAAGGAGGAGGGUAGCUCAUUUUGGGUCUUGCCAGUUUUUGGAGAAGGAUAGCUUACUCGAAGCCGCUUCAAGCAAUACUACUUUGGCGGACCUUUUCAGGUAUGGCAGCUGUAAGCUUCUUUUUAUUUUUUAUUUUUUAUUUAUUUGCUCCAUUUUCUGCUGAUUUUCUGAUCGAUGUGGAAAUCAAGGCUUAAAUGAUUGUUUUGCUGAAUCUGAAUUUGUUUUCAUACUAAACUCUGUUUUGAUUUUAUACUGAUCCCUUUUAUUUUUCCUGUAAAUAACUACCGUAUGGAUUGUUCUUGAGUUGGAUACUUGAUAAUCAUGCCACUGCUCUAUGCUUAUCCCACUUACGUUCAAUCCCAUGGAUAACACAAUGAAAUGUAAGAUAUGGUAUAUUUAUCAAAAUCAACAAUGAGUGCCCCUAGCAUCAGACACGGUAUUAAUAGAGGCUUCUAUUUGAUAUACCUAUCCAUCCAUGUAAGAUAUGGUAUAUUUAUCAAAAUCAAAUAAAAUUCUGUGUGAAACUAUUAAACACUAUGAUUUAAUACAUUAUAGUUAUGUACAAGCCAGAUCAGCCCAGUCACCCACCACGUAGCUUAUCUUUUUUAAUUUGAAUUAAAUUAAACUACUAAAUGCAAUAUAUUUUGAGAUAUUUCUAAAAUCUGUUUGAGAGUAUUAGAGGUUUGUGUAAUAUAUUUAGUAACAAAACUUCCAAAUGAGGGUUAUUUAGUUUAAAUUGAUAAUUAUGUUCUGUUUAGGACUUUUUUAGAUUAUUAUACCUUACUUUUUAUUGAAGAUUUAAAGUUGUUGUAUAAUCAUGAAAUGGAUGUUAAGCUUUACGGAAAAUUGAUUUUAAACUAUGUAGGAGCCAACGUUCAAGCAGUACCCCCGAUGCUCAAACCAGAGUUUUAUAAAUUCUGAAAAUUUUCUUGUUCGACAUUUAUUGAGAGUGUUUUCUUUUUAAAAAAUUUUAGAUUUCAUUCUCUAGUUUUCACUCUUGAAUGCAAACUUUGAAAGAAAAAUCUAGGUAUUGGUUUUCCCACUUACCAAACUUUUAGAAGUUUGUUUUUUGAUUCCUAGGUUUGUGAGAGUGAUUUGUAUCCCCUUUGAUAUUGAGGUUGUCCAAUGGGUGCACAUGUGGUGAUAUGUGAUGAAAAAUUAGUAUAAGUAUCAAGAGAGUAAGAUUUAUGAAUAACUUUUAUCAUGUGAAUAUGUAUACCAGUUGUUUUAUAAUGAAUUUGUGUUUUGUGAUUUCUGGUAGUUUUUCCAUUUGAAUAUUCUUGUUGAUAACUGUAGGAUGAUUUUCAGGUAAACAUAAUUAUAUCUCCUGUUAUUGACCCUUUUUUACAUUCCUCAAUUAUUAGAGAGGAAUUAAAAACAAAUAUUUUGGGCUAAAGCGAAAUAAAUGCUCUAAAAAAUAUUAGUGUUGCACAAUUUAUUUUACUAUAAUGGUAGGUGAUUAAUUUGACAAAUAUAAUAUAGGAAAGCAAUGUCACAUCCCAUUCAAAUUUUGAAAAAGGCCUAAAGUAAAUUAUAGAAAUUACAUGCUGAAAUACAAGAUUUAUGGAUUGAAGUUUCUACAGAGAUAUGUGGGGUAGCACUCUGUCUAGAUAUCUCAUUCUCGUACUAACAAUGACUGUAGAGAUCGAGAUGGACCAUUUCGUGGUGCCGCAGGAAGUAGUUGCUGAUCAGGUUGUAAAUCCUGCGGAUGGCGGUAGGCAUAUUAGAACCUUGGCCAACUUAAAAUCCGAAAUUUGUCGAACACGAGACGACACUCCAUCAGAAAAAAAUGCAAAGCUAGAAUGUCCCAAGGUUCCAAAGUCGUUGUUGCCAUCAGAUGCCAUGGGUUCUGAGUCUGACGGCCACCGCAAUGAGCCAAAAAUCAUGUCUUUGGGUCCUUACCACCAUGGCAAUCCCAAGCUCGCGCGUGGAGAAAUAAUCAAGCUUAAUUUGGCAGAACAUGCCUUUUUAUUAUUUUCGAUGUCGGAAUCAAUCUCAAUAGAGGAGGUCGAUGAAUUGUACGGCGAAAUUAGCGGUCAAGUCCAAUCGCUGAGGAGCUGUUAUGAUGCGAAGUCGACGGAGAAUUAUUCGGAUGAAGAAUUCAGUGUGAUGAUGAUGGUGGACGGGUGUGCUUUACUGUAUUAUAUGUUUCAUGCUUGCUAUGGUGAUGAACAUGACCAAGAAAAUUCCGGUAUCAGAUAUCAGGAUCUAAGGCAUCUGCAGCGGGACGCGUUGCUGCUGGAGAACCAACUUCCCUAUAAAUUACUCCUGGAACUGGGCGAAAAGGUUCCAGGAUAUGACACUAGUGAGUGGAUGGCACUAUGCUUGGAAUUCGUUGGAGUGAUUGGGGAGGAGGAGGAGGAGGAGGCGUACUCAUUCCCGCAAAAAAUGAGGAAAUUUUGCUCCGGCCCGUUCGGCCAAAUUAUUGGCCGGAGUCUGAUGAAGAGUCGGUUAUAAACCUUAAGCCUCUUCAUCUCCUCGAUCUGUACUUAAAUAAUUGGCUAGGAGCCAAACGUCCUAGCCAAAAAAAAAGCGGCGGUGGGGAAUCAGUUAGAUAUGUGAAGGAGAAGGUUAUGGCAUCAUUUAGAAAUGUGAAGGAGCUUAUGGCCGCUGGAAUCCGCAUCAAGCCUAGCCCUACGCGUUACUUGAGGGACAUUUCUUUCACUUCAAAUGUCAUCACUGGAUGCCUCAGACUUCCUAUCAUCACUAUUGAUAACUCAACCAAGGAUUUGUUCUUUAACUUGAUAGCCUGGGAAAGGUGCUCAAGUCGUCGCCAUGACAGUCAUGACUUCAUCUCUUACCUUUGCUUCCUUGAUUCCCUCAUUGAUCAUGCUGAUGACGUUAAGGAGCUGCAGUCAGCCGGGGUACUCCAAAACAAUCUAGGCACGCAUGAACAAGUGGCUGAAUUUUUCAACACUCUGUCCGCCAAGUUUGAAUCAAACUUUCAUGCUUACAGAGAUGUGAGAGUCAAAAUUCGGAAGCACCUUAAAAGUCACCGUAACAGCAAACUGAAAAGGUGGAUGACACAAUGCCUGGACACCUACUUCGGUAGCCCCUGGACUAUCAAAGCUUGGGUUGGUGCUGCUUUGGUCCUUUUCUUUACUGCCGUCCAGACUUAUUUCACAGCCUUCUCUCAUUGAUGCAUUCAUGGCCUGCUUUCUCGCUAUCUAUUGAGUGCUUCUGCAUUUUACCUAGCCUAAAUUCAUGGACUCCAUAUAACCCUUUGAUGUGCAAAGUAAAUUAGGCAAAGAGUCAUUGGUCCCGUUUCUUUGCCAUUUCAGCCUAUUUUCUACCGUCCUUUCCGGGUUUAAAACAAGUAAAAAAAUAAAUGUAUGCUGUGAUCUUAUUUUGGUGUAUUUUGUGCUUAUGUACGCAUAAGUAAUAUUAUGUUUGAUUUAAGUAACUAAAAAUAGACAUGGGUGGACUGUUUUCUUUUUAUGUUUGGAUGCCUAUUAAUGGAUUAUAUUAGGUUGGCAAUUUUAUUUUAUUGAUGUUGUACUCCAUGUAACUUAUUUCCUCGGAUCUUAAUGGUUGGGAUCGGGCAAGUGUUUGAAGAAGUAAGAUAAAGAAAUGAAAACUUCAGAAAAGAAAAAAAAAAAAAGAACCGAAACAAAACAAUGUGAAAAAUGGAGAAAAACCAGACAGGAAUGCAGGAAAUUUUAAUAGAUGAAAGUCAUUUAUUCAUUUUUAAUUGAGAAAAAUAAAAUAUUAAUAUUUUUAUUAGAAAUUUAUUUAUCAAUUCUCUAUUAUAAAAUUUUCUUGGAUUUCAUGGAAAAUAUAUUAAAGAAAUUGACAUUAGCUGCCGGGAACUUAUCUAAAAUUCCUUUUUUUUUUGUGACAAAGAAGCUUCUGAGGAAAGGAUUUUUUUCAAAAGAAAAAUAAAGGAGGGAAGAAGGUAGGUGGUAUGGAAUAGAAGAAUGGAGAAUGGUAUGAAUGUAUUGAUACGAUUUUUAUCUUCUUGGUUGAUUGUGUAAAUAAGAUGGCUGCGUCACAGAAUUUCACGAGUAAGGGAGUAGUAUUUUUUGGAGAAGAAGAGUUUAGUAAUUUAAUUAUUUUUUAUUUAAAUAUUUUAUUUUCUUUCCAGUUUUAAAGAUGAUAUUGGAAAGUUUGACUCGGUAAUAUUAGGUUUAUAUUUGUUCAGAAUAUGUUUAGGGUUUACAACUCAUAAUUUUUGGCAAACAUUUGUCACAACAAUAAUUAGGAAACUUUUAAGAUGUAUUUAGAAGUGAAAAGUGUUUUAAAAAGUGGAAAAAUCUCCAAUAAAAGCAAGAUUGUGUUAUCUAGCUUGAUUUUUUUGUUCUUUGCUUUUCUCUGCUUUUGUUGCAGCUCUUCUGACCAAAAUACUAAUAGUUUCUAUUAAGCAAAAUAAUAAAACAGACACAAGAUGUAGAAUGACAGCACAUGAUAAGAAUCCAUUUUCAUUAAUAUUUAUAUAAAUAAAAAAUUAAUCAAAGAUUAAUAAUAUUUUAUUCUCCUAUUUUAGAAAAUAAUAUUUAUUUUAGAUAAAUCAAGAGCUAUUAAAAAUAUUUUAUUCUCUUAAUUUAGGAAAUGACAUUUGUUUCCUUAAUUUUAAGAUAUUUAUUCUUUCAUUCUUUCUAUAAUUCACAAUGUAUCGUUGUAUAAUUUUUUAAAAAGAAACAAUAAAAAAAUCGUUUUCAUUAGGAAGAAGCUCAAACUUGAGUCCUCUCCAAGAGUGGUCAAAUGCCAGAAAAGGAGUGGUUGAAUAAUAUAGUCAUGAUCAAAAUGGUUGAGAAGACGCAUAUUUCAAAUUGAGGGGUAGAGGCUUCACCCUUUCUAUGUGUUACAAUUCUUACAAAAAAAAUUCUUUUAUGUUUUUAUCGAAUCUCUAUCAAAAAAUGAUGUCUUCACCAUGUUUAAGAGUAAUCAAAUAUUAAUAAUAUUUUAUUUUCCUAAUUUAAGAAAUAAUAUUUAUUUUAAAUAAAUCAAGAGCAAUCAAAUAUUAAUAAUAUUGGGUUAAAUACACUUUACCUUCUCAACCAAUGGUAGUUCUUUUUUUCCCGCACUGUUUUGCUUCAUUUUUGUCUUUGAUAGCUAAGAAAAUUUCUAGACAAAGAAUAAAUAUUAAGUGAUGAGGUGUUUAUAUCGGUUAGGGUUUUCUUUUGAUAGUUGAAAAAAUUUUGGGAAAAAGUUUAAAUUUUAGGUGUUUAGGGUUAAGGUUUUCUUUCCAUAGUUGAGAAAUUUUAUGAAAAAAAACAGAUUUAGGUGUUUAGGUUUCCUUUUCAUAGGUGUUUAUUUAUAGUCAAUUUAGCUUUCUUAUGACAUUUUUUUUUUGUUUCUUUUCAUCAACAUUGCAUCUAUAUAUUUAUCUAAUAUGAAUUUUAUAUUAUAUGUUUGCAAAUAAACCACCUAACUAUUUUACCAUCAAUUAUGAAGGGCGAUUUAGGGGUGAUAUGAGACAUGUAUUUAAGAAUAGUGAUUAUUUGGGUGGAAAAGUGGAUUAUGUUGAUAAUUGUGACAAUAAUGUAAUGUUUUUGAUUGAGUUGGAUCAUAUAUUGUUUUUAUUAAGAUAUAAAUAUUGCAUUGAAUAUUUCUAUGCUAAUAAGAAAGUGAGAAAAUAAAAGCUAAACCUUAAUAGAAAAAACACCCAAGGGGGAGGGAGGUGAAUUGGGGUUUAAAUUUUUUGUUUUUAAGCACAAUGAAUUCAUGUAAAGGAAUCACAAAUAUAAAGAAAUAAGGAUAAAAAAAACUUAGAUUUUAUAGUGGUUCGGCACCCUUUACUUAUGUCAACUCUCCUCAAGUUCCUAAUCGAGUGAAGGUUCCAUUAUACUUGAAGCUUCAACCAAGCGUCCAACCUUUCAGACCUAGAUUUUGGCUCUAAUGAGUUAUUACACAAUUCGUUCAAAUUUCUACUCACUUGAAGCUUCUAACACUCAAAUAAGAAGUUUAAAUCUGUCAACUAAGCUCAAUAAGAGAUCAAAUACAACUAAAAUACUAGGAUAAAUAACAAUGGUGCACUAAAAGAAUAUGCAACCGAGGAUUUUAAUGCAUCAAGGAGAGAAUGAGAGCUUUUGAAUCAAGAACUGGUAAUUAAACAAAUAAAUGUAGGUGUUCUUAUCUUCGUUAAUGAAAGAAAGCUCCCAAUUUAUAGGUUUCUAGCCUUGGGAGCCAAAAUAUCAAAAAAUAGCCUCGACUGGUCAAGCUAUAGGUCGAGCGGUUGACUAGCCAUUGGGCAAUUAAUGCAUGACCGGUGACUAAUAGGCCUCAACUAGACCUUGAUCGGGCCAUGACUGGGAAGGCAUACCCCUCGAUUAGGAAUGCAACACUACUAGAAGAGAGAGAAGAUUUUUUACAUCUCUCGAUCGAUCCUCGACCGGGAAGACAUAAACGGUCGAUCGGUACUUUAACCGAUUGAUCAGUGCCUUGACCAGUUUACCUUUUUUGGCCUAAAAAUCUGUCAUUUUUUUUUGUUGUUUUUGCUUUUAACACCUAGGUAAGGUCUCUAGUCACCGAGUAUGUCAAUUUUCAAACAAUUUGCUUAAGGUUCAUUUGAUAAAACUCGGAUUUUAAUCAAAUGUGUCUUUAAUGCACUUAGGAUAUGGAAAUCCUAAGUGUACCCAUGUAUUCAACUUACAAACGGUUCCUAAGAUUAAAAUAUCUUCUUUGUGCCUUGAUCUUGAAUCUAUUGGAUCCUUUGAUGAAUUUCUCGGAUCUUGAUCUUGAAUCUUGAAUCUAAAUAGACAGGACUAAGGUGGUGUUUGUUUUUUUUACUUAAUUCUAAAUAGAACCUUAAUACUUAAUAGCAUUAAAUAUUAGGUUAUUUGUUUUUAUAGUAUUUUAUUUCUAUUAAGUAUUAAAAAGUAAAAAAAAAAAACCAAUAUGUUAUUUUUUUUAUUUAGAAAAAGUUACAUAUUUUGGCUUUUUUUAUUUAGUAAAAAGUUUAUAAUAAGUCAUGAAAAAAUAAAAAAACAAACAACCUAAAUUCUAAAACUAAAUUGCUUUCAGCAAAAAGCCAAAAAAACAAACACCACUUAAGCCUCUUUGUUGUCAUUUUUUUCAACCUUGGUGCCAAUCAUAUGUCCGGUAUUAAUUUACUCAUGAUGUGAUCUUGAUUCAUUGAUUACGAUAUAGUUUAUUUGUGGUAGAAUUUUGGGAAAAUUAAUAUAAAAAAUAUCUAAGAAAUGAAUUUGAUGAUCAAAUAAUCCAAGAAAAAAAGCAUCAAAUUUAUGAUAUGUAUAAUGAAAGAUGCAUUUAAGUAAAUUAAUAAGCUCGAACCCUUCCCAAAACCAAGGAGACACGCAUUAGCCUAUUUUAUGUGCUUCACUUGCUGUAUAUUAGUAGGUGUAUGAAUAGAUUAAUCUUUCUGAAGAGAAAAAAGAAGAAGAAGAAGACUUGAGUGCUCCUUUUUAAAUGUUAAAUGACCUUCCCUUUGGAUAUCAUUAUAUCAACAUGGACUAGCUGGCAGCAGCCUGUUGCCUACUCGAUUGGAAUUAUGGAGCUUGCAUGCAAUGAGCUGGUGAUUCAUAUUUCACAGGUGGGAUGUAACUUUUUUCUUUUUUUAAUAAAUGAUAAGAAUAUCUCACAUAUAAAAUAAAAAGAGAAAAUUAACCUAUACGUGGAAACUAUUCUCAAUAAUAAUUUUUUGUUUUUUAAACAUAAAAAAAUAUGAAAACUCAGUUGCCUGUAAUUAUUUCCAAAAUAGGUUGUAAUAAUACCUUUUAAUUAUUUUUGGUUAAUUUUAUUUAUUAUUUGGAGCUAUUUUUAAAUGUAAUUUUAGAAAUAUGAAAAAUGAUUGAAAUUUAUAAAAGGGUACAUAAAAGAAUAUUUUGAAAACAUACAAUAUUCAAAAUUACCAAAGAAGCUUUUAUUAUACCAUAGUAAAAUUAUUUUUGAUAAUUAAUCUCAAAAACCAUCUUUUUAUAACUAUUUUGAAAAGUAUUCUCUAACAAACCUUAUGCUUUUAGGGAGGAAUGGUAAUAUUUUAAUAAAAAUUAUAAAAUAUGAAUAUUAAUAUUUUAGUAAAGUUAUAAAUUAUAUUUUUUUUUGUUAAAAACAAAUAAAUUUUUUUAGAAAAUGAUAAUAGUUAAUAAUAUCUUAUUUAAACUGAAUUAUGAAAAUAAGUAUAAUUUAUUUUUCAAAAUAUGCAAUAAAUGAAUCAAGUUUUGAUCACGUACACAUAUUCAUUCCCUAAUUACAAGUAUUCUGAACCAGUUUAGUCCCACAAAAAUUUUAUAAUAAUUAGCAUAAUUUUUUAGUUUUAAUUUAUUUUUAAAAUAAAAGCAUGGAACUAGAUUGAAUCUUUCUUGGGAAUCCCCAGCAAUGCUGGAGGUUGUGGAGUGGCGGGAAAUCAGGGUCAAUUUCAAUCAAACGUGUAUCUCUUUGUAUGCUUAAAAUAAAAAAAAAAAUCUCGAUAAAUCAUCUCUUUCAAUUACAAAUAACUGUUAUUGAAUUAUUAUUAUUAUUAUUAUUCGUAAUAUAAUUCAAUUAACUAUUUGCUGGACACCUACAGUGUUACACCCGACUAAGGGGAAAAGAAAAAGAUCAUACAAGUUAAAGUUAAUUAAUUUGACAAAAAAAAAAAAAAAUCAAAUUUGUUUCAUCAUCUCAAGAUGUCAAGGGUGAAGACUACUACUAUGCGCCAAAACUCAUUUCUUUGGGUCCUUACCACCAUGGCAAGCCCACCUCAAGGAUGGAGAAACGCUCAAGCUUAAAUUGGCAGAAGCCUACAUCCAAGAAUGUGUGCCAAGAGUGGAUGAAAUUUACCACACAAUUAGCGAAAGCAUUAGUGAGCUGAGGGGCUGUUAUAAUGCGGAGUCCACAAAGAAAUAUAAGGAUGACGAAUUAACCAUCAUGAUGCUGGUGGACGGGUGUGCUUUACUCUGUUACAUUUUAUGCGUUUGCUUAGGUUAUGGCCAUGAAGAUUUCAAUAUCAGAUAUCAGAAAAUGAAAAUUUGGAAGGUCCUUCGUCAUCGGAAACUGAAAUUGGCCGGAGGCUGGGUAGAGCAUCAGUUAGAGAUGUGAAGGAGGUUAUGGCAUCAUUUAGAAAUGUGAAGGAGCUGAUGGACGCUGGAAUCCGCAUCAAGCGCAAUCCUACACGUCACUUGAGGGACAUUUCUUUCCGUUCAAAUGGGAUCACCGCAUGCCUGAGAAUUCCUCCCAUCACCAUUGAUAACUCAACCAAGGCUAUGUUCUUGAACUUGAUAGCCUAUGAAAUGAGCUCAGACGUCGACCAUGACUUCAUCUCUUACCUUCGCUUCCUUGAUUCCCUCAUUGAUCAUGCUGAUGACGUUAAGGAGCUGCAGUCCAUCGGGAUACCAAAACAAUCUAGGAACCCACGAAGAAGUGGCUCAAUUCUUCAACACCGUGUCCGCCAACUUGGAAUCCAACUUUCAUGCUUACAAAGACGUGAGAGUGAAAAUUCGGAAGCACCUUCAGAGUCACUAUAACAGCAAACUGACGAUGUGGAUGACACAAUGCCUGGACACCUAUUUCGGUAGCCCCUGGACAAUCAUAGCUUGGGUUGGUGCAGCUUUGGCCCUAUUCCUUACUUUCGUCCAGACUUACUUCUCAGUCUUCCCUCAUUGAUGCAUGCCUGUCCUGUUUUCAACUAUCACCAUCUCAAUUAAGGUAGUAUCCACUCCAAAUUUCCUUGUUUUUCUCGCUAUCUGCAUUUUACCUAGUCCAUGUAAAUUAAGCAAAGACUCAUUGGCUUCAUGCGCUUUUGACCUUACCUCUUUUGUGUUUUUGGUUUCAGCCUAUUUUCUACAUUGCUUUCCGUGCUUAAAUUAAGUAAAGAAUGACUAUGUAGUGUGACCUUAGUUUGGUGUAUUAUGUGCUAUCGCAAGCAUGUGCUAUGCUUGUAUAUGCAUCAUCAGCAGUAUUAUGUUUGAUUUAAGUACGUAAAUAAAGAUAGAUAUAGGUGGAAUAUUUUUUUUCUAUGUUUAUAUUCCUGUUAAUGUAUUAUAUAUAUAUGUUAGGUCGGCAAUUUUUUUUAUCUCAUACCAUUUUUAAUUAAAUCAUUCUUAAACUAUAGUUACUAAGCCAAAAAUUAUAAUGCUCUAGAAAUAUAAUCAAUCUCAUUGUCGAAUUUUUCUAAAAUAAUCUCAGAAUAAGCCCAAUAUCUCUAAUAAUAUGUUAUUUAAGGCACAUAAUAUUCCAAAAAGAAAAUUCUGCAAAAGAAAAAGAAAUUUGUUGAGAAGUGGUUUAUUUUAGUUAAUAUGAACAAAACAACAUUUUGUCCGAUGGAAAUUUGACUAAUGCUUGUAAGUACCGAUUUGUAAAUAUUUGUGGGGGGAGUUUCUUUUGACAACCGAUGGAGCAAUUCAGGUCAUGCAACACUUAUUUGACAACAUUCUAAAAUAAUGUUGUUAAAAAUAUUUAAGAAUGGUUCUGAAAAUAUAUUUUACUUGUUCUUAGGAAUAAAAUUCAACUUAUUUGACAAUAUUCUUAAGAAUAUGCUUUAUCUGUUUUUACUUUUUAGGAAUAAAAUUCCAUUUAAGAAUUAAAAUAUGAAAUACGGCUUUUCAGCCUUGUCCUUCACAAAGGCAUGCGCAGUGGACCUAUAAUGCAAGUUCUUUUUUGUUCUUUUUUAAAACACUUGCAUAAUUUUCUUAAAGAUUAUUUUCAAAAAAUUUUAAAUUUGAUGUAAUAAUUCAUAAAAUUUUCCUUGCAUGUAAUGAAAAACUCGGAUUAUUUGUAUGUUAUAAAAGUUAAAAUUUAUUUAUUUUUAAAUUAAUUUUAUAUCAAAUAUUAUUAAUUAUUAUUAUUUUAAAAAAAUUAUUUUUUUUAAAAUAAAUAAAUUAUACUUUUAUAAAAAUAUUAAUAUCCAUAUUUUUAUAAUAUAUAUUAAAAUAUUUUUUUUAUGAAAAAUAUAAUUUUAUGACUUUGUUAUAAUAUUACUAUUCAUAUUUUACUAGACAUUAUUUUGUUUUAUUUAUUUGUGAUAACAAAAAAUAUUUUCAUUUUUAAUCAAACUUAAAUUAAAUCUAAUUAAUAUGGUAUAAAUUGAAUUUAUAAUAUUUUUACAAAAUAAAAAUGGAAAAAAAAAAUAAAACCAAUUUAUUCAAAUAAACUUUUUUUUUCUAAUUAUUUUUAAAAACAAUUUAUCUAACACUCUUAUUUUUAUAAAAUGUUAAAAAUAUAUAUAUAUAUUUAAAAAAAAAAAAAAAAAAAAACAUGUUCACACAAAAUGUGCUAUUUUUUACCAUUCAGGUGUUAUCCCUUACUGAUGUAGAUAAAAGAUACGCAUAAAAUUAAAAAUGAUUUUUGGACUGUUGCUAUUUUGAUGGGUUUUUUUUUUUUCAAAUGAAACAUGCUUUUUCCCUUUUUGCCCCCUCUCUGAUUGAGGGUUUGUUUUAUUUCACUCUCAUGGAGAGCCCUCUCCAUCUGCCAGCCAACCUGACAAGUCUGAACUGCUCUUUAAGUCUUUCAUUAAUGACACAACUAACUCUCACAGCAGGCGUUGUAAUUGAUAGAAUCAAGGACAGGACAUGGAGUAAUUUGUUUUACUCCAUUUGCCAACUAAUCUGACAAGUUUGAAACACUCUUUAAUGCUUUGUUUUUCGUCUUUCAAUCAUGACACACCCAACUCUCCAUCAGGCGUUGCAAUUGAUACAAUCAAAGAUGGGACAGGUAUUCAUAGAGGCUUCUUUUUUUCUACACCUCUAUAACCACCCAUUUAAGAUAACGUAUAUUUAUCAAAAUCAAACAUUUACUACAUAAUUGUUUGCGAAACCAUUGAACACUACGAUUUAUUACAUUAUAAAUAUAAACAAGCCAGAUGAACCCAGUCACUCACAACGUAGCCUAUCAUAAUUUCUAUUUUUUUUUUCAUUUGAAUUAAAUUAAAAUUUUCAUAAUAUAAUACUUUAAUUUUUAUUUUGAAAUAAUAGGUGUUGCAUAAUUUGUUUUACUUUACUGGUAGGUUAUGAAUUAUUAUUAUUAUUAAUAUAAUUCAAGUAACAUUUUGUUGGAAACUCAAAGCUUUAUAUGUGACCAGGUAGGAAAAAAAAACACCUAUGAAGACCUAAAAUUAAUGUAAUACCAAUUCAAAUUAUAUAGACAAGUGAGAGGUAAGUGAAAACAAUAAAUAAGAAGAAUAAAAAAGGUGAAAAAUAACAAAUAAAAAAAAUAAGAGAGAGAGUUGAUUAAAUUUUAAAUUAAUAGUGGUUAAGUAUAGUUAACCUAUAUAUUAAGGGAUGUGAGUAAAAUUAAUUUUUUAAAAGUAUUGAAUGUAACCAAAAACAUAAAUAAGGUACUAGAAGUUUUGAAUAAACGUGGAUGUGAGAAAUGGUAUAUUCAUCAAAAUCAAAUAAAAUUGUUGAGAAAACUAUUAAACUAUGAUAUAUAUAUAAUGUAUUAGAAUCUUAUAAAAAUUAUAAGGACCUAUUUAUUAACAAAGUAUCUUACCAUAAAUUUUUAUUUAAAUUAAAUCAAAAGAUUUGACAAUAAUGACUUGCUAUUUGUUGGGCCUAUGUGUGCAGAUCACAGGAUUAUUCGUCAUUGGAUGUUGUUUGGUCACUGCAGUUUACACAUUUGAGGAUGUUUGGUUUAGACAAGUGUCACUGACAGAUUUGUAAACUUAUUUUUUAAAGUAUUUAGGGUUUAUUUAAUCUAUAUUUUGCACAAAAUUGGCAAAGAGAAGAGAUUGUUAAUUAGUGCAUUAGACUACUUGUUUAGAUUUACAAUUUUAUUCAAUUCAUUCUAACUUAAAACUUUUCUAGGCUACUAUGUUUUAUUCUUUAUUGAAGAUUUAAAAUUACUACGUGAUCAAUCGAGAUAAUACAGGCAAGUGUAAAGAUGUACAAGAAAUGUUAAUUGAGAUUGGUUAUAGUGUGGAAUGGAUAGGCUUUUGAUUUUAAAAUUAUGAAAAAGGUGAGUGUUUUUCGAUCCCAAUGCUCAAGCACUCCUUAGACUACUUAAAUGCUUAAGCCAAAAUUAUGUGAAAUUCUAAAAUAUUGUUUUUUUCAUAUUUUGAAUAAUGUUUUUUUUUUUGGGGGGAAAUUUUAGAUGUCAUCCCCCUCUUUUUUUUUCUCUUUAAUGCAAACUUUGAAAAAAAAAAUUAGUCCGAGUAUUAGUUUUUCCACAUUCUAAACUAUUAGAAGUUUGUUUUCUCAUUCAUGGGUUUGUGAGAGACAUCUACAUCCAUUUUAGGCAUUGAAGUGGUCCUCUGAGUGCAUGUGUGGUGCUGCGUUAUAAACGUGAAAACUAAUAUAUGUAUUAAGGAGUAAGACUUAGGAAUAACAUCGAAAAUCUAUAUACCUUUUGUUUUAAUAGUGGAUUUGUACUUUGCAUAUUUUGACCUUGUGAUUUUUACACCUGCAUAAUCUUUAAAAGACUGGGAGUCAUUUCCAAGUAAAUGUUGUUAUAUCUCCAACAUAAUCUUUGAAAGACUGUAGGAGUAGUUUCCACGUAAAUGUUCUUAUAUCUUCUAUAAUUGAUUUUUCUUUACAUUUCAUAAAUAUUAAAAAGGAAAUAAAAAUAAAUAUUUUAGGAUAAAAAGAAGUAAAUACCUGUUGACUUCCUUUAGUUUCAUAACCAAGAUCUACAAACCAUGAGUGUUGCAUGUGAAAAGAAAUAUUUAUUUAUUUUGGGCUAAAAUAAAUAUUUUUCUUUCAAUUUAUUUUACUGUAAUGGUAGGUGGUGAAUUUAUUUUAGUUCACAUGUGAAAAGAAUGGGCCCUCAUCUGCCAUUUUGGACAAGUUGGUUCACUGAUGUGAUGGUAAGGUCAAUUUGUAGUGGAAAGAUUAGCUUAAUUUUGAGUACUCAUUAAAAGGUGGAGAUAAUCUUGUUCUAGACAAAAAUUAUUCAAUCAGUCCAAGAUUUUUUUAAUCUUUAUAAAAAUAAAUAAAAUCUAGAUAUGGAAUCAGUCACGCGGAUGCUAUAAAAUCUGAAAAUAUACCAAAUCAAUGUCACAUCCCAUUCAAAUUUUGAAAAAGAUAUAAGAUGAAUUAAUAAAAUUAUAUGAAAGAAUGUAAAAUACAUGUUGAAAAGUGAAAACGAAUAAUUACAUUGAAUCAAAGAUAAAAAUUGAAAACUGAUGCGUAGAAAGAAAAUGACCUGAUGACUUGGGGAAAGAAAAGGGAUUCAAGUCAACUUUUGACACAAAAAAAAGAAAAAAAAAAAGAAAGUAUAGAGAUAUCUAGUAGUACUAUCUCCAGCUAUCUCAUUCUCAUACUAACAAUGGCUGGGAAGGAGGUGGUGGUUUCAGUGGAGGAGCAGCAGGAAGUAGCUACUAAACAGUCUGAAAAAUCUGCGGAUGGCAGUGAUCAUUCGAGAACCUUGGCUGACUUAAAAUCCAAAUUUCGCCGAUCUCCAUCAUCACCGUCAAGUCCAAAGCUACAAUGUCCCAAGGUUCCAAAGAAGUUGCGAUCAGCUGUCAAGGAGGAAGACUACUAUGCCCCAAAACUCAUUUCUUUGGGUCCUUACUACCAUGGCGAAUCCCACCUCGCGAAUGGAGAAACGCUCAAGCUUAAAUUGGCAGAAGCCUACAUCCUAGAAAUUACUGUGUCACAAGGGAACUCAGUCGAGCAGUCAGUCGAUAACAUUUACCACAUGAUCAGAGAUCGCAUUGAUGAGCUGAAAGGUUGUUAUGACUAUCAGGAGUCCAGAAAGAACUAUAAGGAAGACGAAUUCACUGCGAUGAUGCUGGUGGACGGGUGUGCUUUACUGUGGUACAUUUUAUGUGUUUGCUUAGGUGGUGACCAUGAAGAUUACGAUAUCAGAUAUCAGGAUCUAAGCCUUCUUCACCAGGAUGCGUUGCUGCUGGAGAACCAACUUCCCUAUCAAUUACUACAGGAGCUGAUGAAGAUGGCGGUCCCAGAAUCGGCCAAUAAAGCUUGGACAGUACUAUUCCAGGAAUUCUUUGGCAUGAUCGACGAGUCAUUCUUCCAAGAAUUCUUUGGUAUAAAGGAGAAGGAGUACUCAUUCCUGCCAAAAAUGAAGAAUUAUUGCUGCCGCAUGUUCCUGGCAAUCAUCCAAAUUAUUAACAGGAAACCAAAGCUGAAACCUGGUGAAGAGUCGGAGCCGAAACCUGAUGUAGAGUCGAAGAUGAAACCUGAUGUAGAUUCGAAGAUGAAACCUGAUGAAGAGUCGAAGCCGAAACCUGAUAAAGAGUCGAGGCUUUGUCAUCAUCUCCUCGAUCUCUACCGAAGAAAUUUCCUAGGCGAUGAACGUUCUAGCGCAACGCAUUCGGAGGCUGAAAAUGGCAAGAAGGGUCCGGGAUCAGUUGGAGAUGUGAAGGAGCAGGUUAUGGCAUCAUUUAGAAAUGUGAAGGAGCUUAUGGCCGCUGGAAUCCGCAUCAAGCGCAGUCCUACACGUCACUUGAGGGACAUUUCUUUCCGUUCAAAUGGGAUCACCGCAUGCCUGAGAAUUCCUCCCAUCACCAUUGAUAACUCAACCAAGGCUAUGUUCUUGAACUUGAUAGCCUAUGAAAUGAGCUCAGACGUCGACCAUGACUUCAUCUCUUACCUUCGCUUCCUUGAUUCCCUCAUUGAUCAUGCUGAUGACGUUAAGGAGCUGCAGUCCAUCGGGAUACUCCAAAACAAUCUAGGAACCCACGAAGAAGUGGCUCAAUUCUUCAACACGGUGUCCGCCAACUUGGAAUCCAACUUUCAUGCUUACAAAGAUGUGAGAGUGAGAAUUCGGAAGCACCUUAAAAAUCACUACAACAGCAAACUGAAAAUGUGGAUGACACAAUGCCUGGAUACCUACUUCGGUAGCCCCUGGACUAUCAUUGCUUGGGUUGGUGCUGCUUUGGCCCUUUUCUUUACUGCCGUCCAGACUUACUUCUCAGUCUUCCCUCAUUGAUGCAUGCAUGCCCUGUUUUCUCGCUAUCUAUUGAGUGCUUCUGCAUUUUACCUAGCCCAAAUUCAUGGACUCCAUAUAACUCUUUGAUGGUUGCAAAGUAAAUUAGGCAAAGAGUCAUUGGUCUCGUUUCUUUUCCAUUUCAGCCUAUUUUCUACCUUCCUUUCCGUGUGUAAAAAAGUAAAGAAGGAAUGUGUGGUGUGAUCUUAUUUUGGUGUAUUUUGUGCUUAUGUAUGCAUCAGUAAUAUUAUGUUUGAUUUAAGUAACUAAAAAUUGAUAUGGGUGUGGACUAUUUUUUCUAUGUUUGGAUCCCUAUUAAUGUAUUAUAUUAGGUUGGGAAUUUUAUUUCAUUGAUGUUUUAGUCCGAUACAACUUAUUUCCUCAGAUCUUAAUGGUUGUGAUCGAAUUAAAAUUAUUCAUCAGUUCGGUAUGAGGUAAGUGUUUGAAGAAGUAAGAUAGAGUAAUGAAAACUUGUAAAAAAAACACAACACAAAACAAAGUGAAGAGUGGAGAACAACCUCACUGGAAUGUAGAUAAUUUAAUAGAUGUAAGUCAUUUAUUCAUUUUUAAUUGAGAAAAAAUAAAAUAUUAAUACUAUUGUUAGAAAUUUAUUUAUCAUAAAGUUUUCUUGGAUUUCGUACAAAAUAUAUCAAAGAAAUUGAUAUUAGUUUCCAUGAACUUAUCUCAAGUACCAUUUUUUGUCGCAAAGAAGCUUCCGAGAAGAGGAUUUUUUUGAACAAAAAUAAAGGAGGGGAGAAGGUAGAAGGUGUGGAAUAGAAGAAUGGGGAAUGGUAUUUAAGUUAUAUUGGAGAUAAUUAAUGGAUGGAUGUAUUGAUAUGAUUUUUAUCUUCUUAGAUGAUUGCGUAAAUAGGAUGAAUGCGUGGAAAAUUUAUUCGGUGGAAGCAAAUAUAAAUUCUCUUUUUAAUCUCAAACAAGAGAGUAGUAUUUUUUGGUGAAGAAGGGUUUAGUAAUUUAAUCAAUUUUUUUUAUAAAAAAAAUUUUAUUUUUGUUUUCAAUUUUAAAAAUGAUUUUGGAAAGUUUGAUUGUGAUGUCCUACAUCGAAUAAGAAAAAAAGUUUAUGACGAAGUAUGAACUCUUUUUAACUUUGUAAAUAUGUUUUAAAGUUAUAAUGACCCUUUUUGACUUAAAGUAGACAAUAAUUACAUGAUUAAGUAUGAGUUGUUAUAAAAGACACAUGAGAGUCAUUUUGUUUGUUUGGUCUCACAAUUUUAUAGGAUACAACAAGGACGUUGUGUUUACAUAAGGGGUGAUUGUGAUGUCCUAUAUUGAGGGGUGAUUGUGAUGUCCUAUAUUGGAUAAAAGAGAAAGUUUCUGACAGUACAUAUAUGUAAGUUCCUUUGAACCUUAUAAAUGUGUUUUAAAGUCGUGAAAACCUUAUUGGGAUCGAGCAAACAAUAUGUAUAUGGUUGAGUGUGAGUCAUUACAAAUGAUACUAGAACUAAUCUUUUACCCUUGUGUGGGAUUUUGUUUGGCCCUAUGAAGGGUGUCUACUUGUUUAGCCUCGCAAUUCCAUGUAACACAAUAAAAAAGUUGUGUUUGCAUGGGGAAGGGAGACAGUGUUUGUGAUGUCCCACAGUGGAUAGAGAAAAAAAUUUCUAGCACUAUAUAAAUAUAAAUUCCUCUUAAUCUUAUAAAUGCAUUUUAAAGUUGUGAAAGCCCCUUUGAAUCUAGAGUCGACAAUAUCUACAUGGUUAGAUGCAGGUCAUUAUAAAAAACACAUUAUAAGUCCGUACGGACUCCUUUAGAUUCAGAAUAGACAAUUUCUACACAAUUGAGUGUUAAUCAUUACAUUGACUUAAUAAUAUUAGGUUUAUUUUGAAUAUAUUUAGGGCUUAUAACUUUUGGAAAAUAUUUGUUAUAAAAAUAAUUAGGAAACUUUUAAGAUGAAUUUAGAAGUGAAAAGUGUUUGCAAAAAGUGGAAAAAUCUCGGAUAAAACAAUGUCAUGUUAUCUACUACGAUUUUUUUUCUUUGCUUUUGUUGAAACUCUUUUUUGCUUCCAACCUUUUACAAGGACCAAAUACUAGUAGUUUCUAUUAAGCAAAACAACAAAACAGGACAUAGGGCACAGAAUGGCAAAAUAUAGAAUGAUAGAAAUCUAUUUUCAUUAAUAUUUCCAUAAAUAAAAAAUAAUAAGAUAUUAAUAAUAUUUUAUUCUCCUCAUUUAGAAAAUAAUAUUUAUUUUAAAUCAAUCAAGACCAAUCAAGAAUAUUUUAUUCUCUUAAUUUAGAAAAUAAUAUUUAUUUUCUUAAUUUUAGAAUAUUUAUUAUUUCUAUCUUUCUAUAAUCCACAAUGCAUCAUUGUAUAAAUUUCUGAAAAGAGAAAAUAAGAAAAUCAUUUUCAUUGUCUAAUUUUCAAACUUUUCAUGGUAUUAAAGUUAGGAUAGGAGGCUCGAAUUUGAGUUUUUUUUCAAAAAGUGGUCAAAUGUCAUAAAAGACUUAACCUACCCUCACAAACCAUAUCUUCAUUUUCAAAAAUAAAAAUUGCCUAGUGUUUUAGUCUUCCAUCAAUAUUCUUUCUAGUUUGAUUUCAAUCAAGUUAAACACCACAAAUUUUCUAUUGUGGUGAAAUCAAAUCAUCCUCUUAAUUCAUGGCUUCAAUGUUCUAGCUUUUCAUCAAUGUUUUACACUUUCAUUAGUGUUAUUUCUAGCUUAUUUUAAUCAAGCUAAACACCAUAAAUUUCCUAUUAUGGUCAUCCUUUUAGUUUGUGGCAUCGGUGUUCUCCAACAUCUCUUAGGUGAAAAAAACCUAUUGAAAAAAGUUAAAGAUGAUAAAGGAAGCAAAAGUUCUAUCUUGUAAUACCAAUUAUUGAUCGACAAUGACAAAUUUAUCACUUCACGAAUUCUUGGAAUCAUGAAAGAACAUAUUUUAAGCAUGAUCUUUGGUGUUGACAUGGUAUAUGAGGUAUGAACUUUUCUUAAAGAGCAAUUGCUUUAUGUUAUAGUUGAAAAAAAAAAUCUACUGAAAAACUUUUAAAAGACUUCAAAUAUAUAUAUAUGACAAUCUUGUUGUAAUCAAAAGCCAAUUUUAGACCAUGUAAACGUCCGUCGAUUUGUUCAUGGUUCAAGAUAAAGGUAUGAAUUUUUUUUUCACCUAUAUGCUUUUCUAGCCAAUUUAUAGUAGCUCUUCAAGAACAUAAAGAAUCACUCACAACCAAAAAAGAGGAGAGAAAAUGUUCUUAGAGCAUGAACAAUUUUUAUUUAGAUGAUAGGGUCAUGAUCAAAAUGGUUGAGAGGGCUCCACUCUUUCUAUGUGUUACGAUUCUUAUAUAUAUAUAUAUGCAUGUUUUUAUCAAGUCCUUGUCAAAGGAUGUCUUCACUAUGUUUCAAGACAAGUUGGGGAUCCAUAUUCAUUCUCACUCCAUCUUGAGGGGCAUGAUUAAGGAAAUAAAAUAAAAUAGGACAAAUGACGAAGAAUGGCGUGGAAUGAUAAGUUAAUCCAUCUUAGUUAUUAUUUCCAUAAAUUAAGAAUAACCAAAUAUUAAUGAUAUUUGAUUUUCCUAAUUUAAGAAAUAAUAUUUAUUUUAAAUAAAUUAAGAGCAAUCAAAUAUUAAUGAUGUUGGGUUAAACACACUUUACCUUCUCAACUUUUUCGUGGGUUUUACAUUUUGUGCCCUCAUAUUCAAAAUUCAACAAUUUUCCCUCCAAACUUCUUAAAAAUUAGCAUUACACAUUUUUGUUGGAUGACGUUACAUCUAUUAAACAAAAAAUGACGCGCUUUACACAUGACUUAAUAAGUAAAGAUGAAAUUGUCAUUUGAAACACUCAAAACCUUAAAUCCUUUUCAAUUUUUUUUUGUUCUUCCUCCAAACUCUUCAAUCUCUAUUUUUCUUCCUCCAAAGCCCUAACUUCCCAAAACCCUAAAAUCACAAAAACCCAAUGCAACCAUUGAAGGGCUGAGAAUUUGAUUAAAUAUAUGGAUUUCAUUGGUAGUUUUUUUCUUUUCCUUGUAAUUUUUUGCUUCAAUUUUUCUUUGAUAGCUAAGAAAAUUUUGAGAAGAGAAUAAAUUUUGAGUGAUGAUGUGUUUAAGGUUAGAGUUUCCUUUUGAUAGUUGAGAAAAUAUUGAGAAAGAGAACAAAUUUUAGGUGAUUAAGGUUAGAGUUUCCUUUUGAUAGUUGAGAAAUUUCGUAAAAGAGAACAAAUUUAGGUGUUUAGGGUUUUCUUUUCAUAAUUGAGAAAUUUCCUUUUCAUAGGUGUUUAUCUCCUAUCAAUUUAGCUUUCUUAUGACAUAUCUUAUUAUUAUUAUUUCCUUUUCAUCAACAUUGCAUCUAUUGAUUUACCUAAUAUGAAUUUUGUGUCAUAUGUUUGCAAAUCAACAAUGACUAUUUUACCAUCAAACUACAUUAUGAAAGGAGGUUUAGGCGGGAGAAAAUAAAGGCUAAUAAGAAAAACACCUAAUAGAGAGGUGAAUUGGGUUUUUCAAAAAGUUUUUCAACACUACAAAUUUAAGCACAAUAGAAGCAAAAAUAAUGAGAUAGAGUUAGAGAAUUCAAACUUAGAUUUUAUAGUGGUUUGACACUUCCUUACCUACGUCCACUUUCCUCAAGUUCCUAACCGAGUGAGGGUUCCACUAACUUGAAGCUUCAAUCAAACUUCUAAUUUUCUUUACACUUGGAUUUUGACUCCAAUAGGCUCUUACACAAUCACUUCAAGAUUCAACACACUUGAAGGCUCUAACACUCAAUUUACAAGAAUGAUCUUCUUUCAACCUAGCUCAAUAAUGGCUCAAAUACAAAUCAAAGCUAGGAUGACUCACAAGGGUACACUAAAAGAUAUGCAAGUGAAGACUUAAUGCACCAAGAAAGAAAUGAGAGCUUUUAAGGCAAGAACAAGUGGGUAGACAAUUGAAUGCAAGAGUUCUCUAUGUCAGAAAUGAAGUAGAGCUCUCAAUUUAUAGGUUUCUAACAUCGAAAGUCAAGAAAAAUAAAAAGCAGCCUCAACCAGUCGAGUUGGGGGUCGACCGGUUCACUAGUCGUUUGAACAUUUAAUGCUUUGGUAGGUUAUUGUUGCCUCGACCGGACCUCGACCAAAGGUCGACCGGGAAUGAGAAUACCUCAAUCGGGAAGGAAAGACUACUGGAUGAGAGAGUGUUUUUAACACUUCUCGACCGAAACUCGACCAGACAAAGGCAACCAAUCGAUCGGUUCCUUGGUCGGUUGAUCUAGUUGGCCAGUGUCUUGACUAGUUCAACCUUUUGACCCUGAAAACCUAUCUUUUGUGUUUUUCUCUUUUCUAACACUUAGGUAAGGUUUUUAGAUAAAUUAAUAUGCUAAUUUUGAAACAUUUUGCCUAACGUAUAGUUGAUAAAACUCGGGUUUUAAUGAAAUUAUAAUUUUAAAUAAUAAACCGAGUUUUCUAAAGAUGCAUGAAAAGAUAUGUAACACCUAAGUGCACCUAUGCAUUCAUCUUACAUUUGUUUCCUAUGAUUAAAAGUCUUCCAAAAGUCUCGAUCUUGUAUCCAUUAGGUUCUUUGAUUAAUUUCCAAAUUAAUACUUGAGGUUCUUUACAAUUCAAACCAAUUAGUAACUUAACCAUGGUUUGUUAUCAUCAAAACCUGAUUAGGAGAAUAUUUGAGCUAACAAGGCGUAAUAUGAGACUUGUACUUAAGAUUAGUGAUUAUUUGGGUGGAAAAUUGGAUCAUGUUGAUAAUUGUGACAAAAAUGUAGUGUCUUUUAUUGAGUUGGAUCAUAUGUUGUUUUGAUUAAGAUAUAAAGAUUGCAUUGGGUAUUGCUAUGCGAAUAAGAAUGGAGAAUUGGUAUGGUGCUUAGCAGAUUAAAUUGUCUUAGAAAUGUGAAACUCAUGUCCAAGGGAUAAGAAAAUCGAAGUGUUUGUCAAGCACACAGAGGUUUUAUAUCUUGCUUAAAGUGAAAUUGGGUCUUCAAAUGUUUAUAGUCAUCUUGGUGAAAGUGUUUAUGAAGUUGAAGACUCUAGGACUAAUGUAGAACUAGAACUUGAUGUAGAUCAAACACCUCAACAUGAAGAUAACAUAAAAUCAUAAUAUGAAGAGGUUAGGAGAGAUUCAUCUAGAGAUAAGUGACUUUGAUGAUGAUGAGUAUCUAGUUAGUGAUAAUGAUGACUUGUAUGACAAUUAUGUGGAUGAUAAUGAAGAGUGGGUUAGGAUAAGAGGCAAAUAAGAUAACGAGGGAAGAGUUGAGAAGGAAAGCAAAACAAUGAAUGAUGUGGAGGAUGAAAAAAAAACCUUUGUGAUGAUGAUACGAGGAGUUUAGCUAGUGAUAGCAAAGAGGAAUUUAAUAGAGACAAGCCUCGGCACCCUUAAUUUGUGGGUGAUACAGAUAUGACAAAUCCUAAGUUUAGGGUAGUGUUACUAUUCAAAAGUGUAGUUGAGUUUAGAGCUACAAUAAGGGAAUAUGCCAUAAAAAUUGGUAAAAACAUGAAGUUCAUUAAAAAUAAGAAUGACAGAGUAAGGGUAGUUUGUUCAACUAGGUCCCCUUGGGUUGUUUAUGCAACUCAAGUAAGGGAUGAUAAGAAAUUACAAGUAAGGACUUAUAAUGUAAAACAUACUUGUGGUAGGGCAUUCAAAAAUGAUAAUCUCACAUCAAGGUAUUUUCCUAUAAAAGUACUAACUAAUUCAAACUUAAGAAAGUAACUUACCUUAAAAUACUAACUAAUUCUCCAUAUAAAAAAAUAUUUCCUAUAAAAGUACCAACAACAAAAGCAGCAUAAUUAAAUACAUUUUACGAGUAUUACUUCUAAAUAGGUAUUGGCUUCUUUUAAUUAACAAGUUAAACCUUAAAACAAAUCAAAAGACAAGGAUGUUAAACAAUUCUCAUUUAUAAGAAGUUGAUAAAUUUUUAUAAAAAAAAAUAGAGGUUUUGAUAUUGACAUGGGGAUAUAUCUCAAAACAUUUUAAAAACAUGAUAAAAAAGGACGAGGUGUCAGAAGGAGAUCGACGAAGGUAACAAGAAUUUAUUCGUCCGUAUAUCCUACCUCCUUUUAGUUAGUUGAGUCGUGCAUCAAAAAAGUUCCCAUAUCACACUAUUUAUUUUUGUUUUUCUCUUUUUUCCUUUUUUUGUUUUUUUUUUCAAAUUUAAUGAGAUGUGAAAAUUAGGUCUCAUGGAACUUUGCGAAGUUGACCUAAAUUGGGCUUUUAAAUGUACAGGCCAGGCCCAAACCACACCAUAACCCGGAUGUACAAGCCAAAAGUUAAUGGGCUUAGUCUUUCUCCAAUUUUUAGACACGAAAUGUUCCUCAUUUCAGCUCAUUAAUGUACUGCCAAAAGUGAUUGUAUGUGCAUACAUCAGAGAAAGUAGGCAGUCAGUUGAUGACAUUUACUGUGUACUUAGAAGUUAAAAAAUGAAUGUGUGGUCAUUGUCAUGUACCAGCAAUUAAUUUUGAUUAAAGUAAAUAAAGAUAGUGUGGGUGAAAUAAUUGUUAUAUGUGGAUAUUAAUUCCCGAUGAUGUAUUAUAUUAGGUUGAUAGUUUUUUUCAUUAAUAUGCAGUACUAGUCGCAUACAACUUACUUCCUUAAGUCUGAAUUACCAUUAUCAUUUUAAAUUACUCAAACCUGUUCGAUUCCAAAACUAGAUGAUAUAAACGUUCGAAGAAGUAAGACAAAAUCAAUGAUAACGUAAAAGUGAAAAAAAGAAUUAAAAAAUGGAGAAAGACAUGAACUUUGGAAAGGCACUAGGAAAAGUGAUGGAAAUAUAGUUCAAAAGUUUUGCAGAUAGUUCAAAUACAUUUGUAACUUAAGAUGAAUAAAAGUAAAUAUAAGUUCAAAUUAAUGAACAAAUAUUAUUUAAAAUUAAUGAGAAUAAAUAUAUUAAUUUAAUUAUUUAAAAUAAAUUUUAAGUUAAUUUUAUUCAAUAAUUUUAAUAUUUAAAUUUAAAAGGAAGUUUUAAAUCAAUAUUAACUUAAAAUUAACUUAAAUAAUUAAGUAAUAAGUUUUACCCGACAUCCUUUUAAUUAUUCACUAUUGAUUCAUCUUUCUUUUACCAUUUCUCUUAUCCAAUUUAAAACAUUAGAAAUUCAUCCAUUUAUGUUUUCUAUUUAAUCUCUUUAGCAAACUCACCGUAUUUGAGUAGUUAAAUUAAAUCAUAUGUUUCCCACUUUUUGGGAUUUUGAGAAAAAAUAAAUAAAUUUUAAAAGAUAUUUAUUAAAAUAUGAUAAUUUUAAAAAUAUUUUAAAAUUUAUAAUAAUGGAUAAAAAAAUCCAAUUGGAAAUGUUUUUGAAGCAUCAUAUUUUAAUAAAUAUUAAAAAAUAGUUUUUUUUCUUCUUUUUUUUUUUUCCCUCAAAAUCCCCAGUUCUUGAGCAUCACUCUCCCACUUCUAGUUAAUUUGCAACCGCAUGUUCCAAUUUCGUUUGUUGAUGAGACAUUUCAAUAAUCUCAUUUAUUAUUCGAACUGCUCUCACAGGUUUAGACGUUUCUUUGCCUUGUGCCUUGGCUAAGGAUAAUCUAGUUUUUUCUUAUCAUGCACCAUGUUAAGGUAUGGGAAAUUGUCUUAAACAAAAAUAUUGUUCAGCAUUUAAUGCCCAUUAGACUUAAUUUCAUUUACCUUCCCUUAGAUUUUUGCUAAUACAUUUGAUUCUUAUAAAUUUAAAAUUUCAUCAAAUAUCUUUUUUAUUUCUUUUUAUUUUUUAUUUUCAUUUACCUUUAUUCUCAUUCAAAAUAAAUAAAGUAUAUAAUAAAAUUUCAAAUUUAUGAAAACCAGGUAUAAUUAGUCAAAACCUUAGGAGAAUGAAAUUAACUCAAUCCCACUGUAUAUUCUUGUAUGAUUAAGUAUUAAGAUGAAUAUAAUAUAUCUUUAAUAUGAGUAUAAAUAAAUAUAAUAUCAAAUUAUAUAUAAAAAUGAUAGUUCAAUGUUACUAGGGAUGACAACUGGGCGGGUUCGAGCCAGGUCACCCGCGUCCCAACCCCGUCCCGUUUAUUCGAAACAAUUCUCAUACCCAUCCCAUUUAAAAAGUUAAACGGAGCGGACAGGUACGACCAUUUAACUUUUUUUUGAAUUUGAAUUUGAAUUUUUUUUUAAAUUACUUUGAAAAAUUUUAAUUAUAUUAAAAUAAAUAUAUUUUAUAAAUAAUUAAAUUAUUAUAUUUUUAUAAUUUAUUUUAUUAAAAAUAUUUUAUUAUUAUCUAUAUAUUAAAAAUAGUAAAAUAAAAAUUAAAUUAAAUUAAUCUUAAAUUUUAAAUUUAAUUUAAUUUUAUAUAUAAUUGGGACGGGGCGAGGGCGGGCAAUACCCGAACCUCGCCCGGGUUUUUUAAAAAAUAUUUUAUUAUUUGAUCAUCGAACCUCCCAGAAAUGAAUUGAUGAUCAAAUAAUCCAAGAAAAAAAGCAUCAAAUCUAUGAUAUGUGUAAUGAAAGUAAGUAAAUUAAGAAGCUCGUGUUAGGCAUGAACCUGUAUCAUAUGAACCUUCCCAAAACCAAGGAGACUCGCAUUAGCCUAUUUUAUGUGCUUCACUUGCUGUAUAUUAGUAGGUGUAUGAAUAGAAUAUUAAUCUUUCUGAAGAAAAAAAAAAAGGGAAGAAGAAGACUCGAGUGCUCCUUUUUAAAUGCUUCCCUUUGGAUAUCAUUAUAUCAGCAUGGACUAGCUGGCAGCAGCCUGUUACUUACUCGAUUGGAAUUAUGAAGCCUGCAUGCAAUGAGCUGGUGAUUCAUAUUUCACAGGUGGGAUGGAACUUCCAGUUUUGCCACUUUUGUGUUUUACUUUUUUCAUAUCCUCUCCUAUUCUAGUUUCUUCUCAUUCCUUCUAUUUUCUGGACGUUGUCUUUCGUUCAAGCCUAUAAUAUGUUGUCAUGUAAUAAAAAACUUUGUAUCAUUUAUAUAUUAAAAAAGUUAAAUUUUAUUUAUUUUUAAAUUAAUUUUAAGUAAAGUAUUCUCAAUUAUUAUUAUUAUAAAUAAUUAUCAUUUAUUUUUCACAAAAACUCAAUUGUACUUUUAAAACGAUAUUAAUAUCCAUAUUUUUCUAAUAUAUAUUCAAGUGCUAUGGUUUUUUUUUUUUUAAAUGAAAAAUGUAAUUGUUUAUUACUUUUAUUGUAAUAUUAUUAUUUAUAUUGUACUAAAAACUAUUCAUUUAAAAUUGAUUUCUGAUAAUAAAUAUCUAUUUUCUUUUUUAAUAAUGCUUAAAUUGAAUUCAACAAAUAUCAUAUCAAUUGAAUUUAUAAUGAUUUUACAAAAUCAAAAUAAAUGAAAUUUAAAAAUAAAUUAUCCAAUUAAUUUUAUUCCUUUUUUUUCUUUCAAUUUUUGAUAAAUGUUUUAAAGAACAAUUUAUCAAACGUUGUAAUUUUUAAAAAAUACCAAAAAACAAUUUUUUGAUAAAAACAAACAUGUGGCAAAAACAAAUCUUAUACAUCUAAAAAUAAUAAUGGUUUUCAUUUUUAUAAACUACUAAAAAACACUAAUUAUGAAAAAAAUAAACUUGAAAAAACAAACUUUAUACAUUUUAAAAUAAUCAUGAUUUUAUGUAUUUUUUUUAUUAAAUGUGAUAUCUUUUGUCGAUCAUGUAUUAUCUUUUAGUGGUUAUUUUUUUUAGCCCUUCAUAUUUAAUGUAAAUAUGCUAAAUCAUCAUAGGUUUUGAAUUUGGUCAACUAGAACCUUAUCAAUACAUUUUAUAUAUAAAUACUGCAUUUUCAUUUAAGAUAUUUAUACCAGAAAUCUCUGAAAAAAAUAAAUUCCCAAUUGGAAGGGAUGCUAAUAGACAGUUUAAAUUGAUUAAGUAUAUUUAUACCAAAUGUUAAUGGUGCCAAUGAAAUUAGCCCCAUCUUUUUAGGAUACGGAUGAAAGUUACACAGAAGAUUAAAAUGAUUUUUGUGCCUUUUUUUAUGUUAAAUGAAAAAUACUUAUUCUCUCUUUUACCCCUAUUUGAUUGAGGGGUUGGUUUAUUUCACUGCCAGCCAACCUAAUAAGUUUGAAACGUUUUUUAAAGCUUUGUUUUUCGUAUUUUAGUAUUGACAAACCCAACUUUCACUUCAGGUGUUGCAAUUGAUAGAAUCAAAGACAGGACAUGGAUCAAAUUAGUGGCGCAAGCAGCAGACAAGGUAUGAAUUGAGGCUUCUCUUUGAUACACCUAACCAUGUAAC